CUUAUCACAAUUGGGUUGAUCUCCCUAUAUAAACAUACACGAGUCACCAGUGGAGACAUGAACAAGCAGAGAUAAAUCGAGCAAAGAUCAACCCACCGAUCGGUAAAUUCCCAGCAAACUCCAGCAAAUCCUUUGUACCAAGUCUUCAUAUUCGUUCCCUACUGUCACAAUUCCCAUAAGCCAACAGCCUACCACAGCAUUACCAAACAGUCCACCCUUUAAGCCUCUCUGCUGCCACCUAUCACCAAUUUAGCUGCCAGAACAAGCAUACCAUUUUCUAAUGUUCGGCGCCGGAACCGCCAUACACCAAACGCAUUAUCACAAUCACCUAUCGCAACUCAAAAACUGCCAUCAUUCAUAAAAAAUUGAGCUGCGGCAGCCACACAUAACUUGAAACUACAAACCUACCAUCGUCGAGUCCUAGACUAAACCUAAGUAGCCAAUUGUUAACAUUUAUCACCACAAACCCAGAAACACCACCCACACACAGAGCAAGAAAUAGAAUAAUAACACAGAUAAAGAAAUAAAGACAUAAGUAAGGAAAAAAAGGGUUUUUAGCAACGAUCAUUUGGAGCUCGAUACUAUGAAUUUGUGGGGUUAUUUUUUGGGGAUCCUAAAUUGGUGUAAGAGAAGAAAGUGGUGAAAAGCCACAAUGUUUGUGGCAAGUGCAAUGGUAACGAUGGUGGCCAACGGCAACAGGUGAGCUUUCACAGAUCGGGAUCCAGGAACAAAAAAAACACAAAGAAGCUGAAACGGGGGUGCAAAGGCUGCGACUUCAGCUCCAGAUCUAGGCCAUUGGAGAACAAUUUGUGAAAAACCAAACUCAGAUAUGAGACAAGGGACAAGGAGCCUGAAAGGAGGUUUGCUGUGAAAUGUCGGUGUCAAUGGAGGUGGGUCGACAAAAACGGCGGAGCCUUGUCGGUUUCUGGGCUGUUUGAAGGACGGUGGUGGUCGAAAAAUCUUUUCUAGAGAGAGUAGAGAACUUGUAGCAAGAGAAAGAAGCAGGAUAUGAAAAAAUGAAAAGAGAGAGUUGAUGUUGGGUUACAUACGGUGGUUUAAAGUGGCGUUGUUUUGGGCACUAAGGAAUCGGGUUCAUCCGACUCAUUUUGAGACCCGUGUCUGUGACCAGGUUUGGGUCUGGCCCAACAGAAAUAAUUUGUCCCAGCCCGCAUGCCAUAUCGGAAAAAAUUCAAGCCCAAUCUUUAGCCCAAUUCAUCCACAUUUUUUCAAGUUUGGAUCGAGAUUCAGUUUGGCCUAUUCAAAGAUCAAUUUCCUUGAACUUCAAUUUGGAGUUUAACCCAAUUAUUGGUACAUUUUUAUUUUAUUGUUAAUUGCUUUAGUUACUUUAAUUAAUUUUUUAAAUAAUAAAAUUUUAAAAUUACUUCAAUCUAUUGAAUUAUUAGAGAAUUUAAAUAUUUGAAUUAAGUCUUACCAAAUUAUUGAAAGACUUAAUGAAAAUUUUUGAAAAUAAAAGUUUUAAUUAUACCAAACUAAAAUAAAAAUUGUAAUUACACUAAAUUAUUAGAAGAUUUAAAUUUUCAAUUAAAUUUUAUCAAACUAUUGAAAGAUUUAAUGGUACUAAAAGUUAGUAUCCAAAAUUCAUGUCCCUUUUGUGCAUUUCGCUUCAAAACCUUUAAAUCUAUCUACCCAUGUUCUUUUUCUAUCUUUUUGAAUUACUUUAAUUGAAAAAUCAUCAAUGUUAGAUUUUAACAAUUCAAUGUUUUUCUCAUGGUUUGUCUAUGAUUUCUAUACUUAAAAUUGUACUUCUUGUUUUUAUGUAACAAAAGAUUAACAAGGUAGUGUAGAUCUACAGGGGUUUAAAGUCAUAAAUCAUAUUCAAAAUUUUUAAUUGUGUUACAUCCAAGUCAAUUGGUUAAUGGUCAACACAAUUAGGUCAUUGGGCCAUCCAUGUGAGCCAUGCCUAAACAAUCAUGUCACUUGCUGAGGAAAUGACUCGCCCUUCACCAAAAAAAUGACUCGCCCAAGGUUCCACCAACAAUUUGUCAAUGUAGUCAAUUCAGAAUUGACCAACUAGCAUCCAAUUUGGUUGGGAUCACUAAAUGCAACUCAUGUCUACCUAAUCUCAACAUAUCUUACGCGGGCCCACAUCCUUGAAAUUUACAUUACACCUCAAAGAAUUAAUUGAUUUCUUUUUCUCUAUUCAUUACUUGUUAAUCACUCUGAACGAUAAUAAAUGAAUAAACAAAUAAAUAAAUAGUAAUAACAACAAUUAUACCAAUAAAUGAAAAGUAAAAAAUAAAAAAGUGAGGUGUAACACAAAGGCUUCUUAAGAGGUCACCUAUUCAAGUAGCACGCUUAACUAAGGAGCUUUGUUGUGAUAUGAUAUUUUAGUGCUAGUAUGAUCACACCCAUCACUUGAAGAGCAAAUAAAAUAUAUAACCCUUCAUUCUUUGCAAAUUGCUUAACACAUCCCAUGUGAGCCCAUAUUCUAAGAAUUUGUGUUACAUGUUAAAAAAUUAAGUGAUUUCUCAAGUCAUUACUAAUUAAUCACUCCGAACGAUAAUCAAAUAAUAAACAAAUAAAUAAAUAGUAAUAACAACAACUUUGUCGACAAAUGAAAAGUGAAUAAUAAAAAUGUAAGGUGUAACACAAGGACCUCAUAGGAAGCCGCCCAUCAUCAUAUUGUUCUCACCCCAAGUAUGUUUAAUUGCAGAGUUUUGAUGGGAUCUCAUGUUUUAGUGCUGUUAUGAUCGCACCAGUAACUUAAUGCACAAACAAUAUAUAUAUAUAUAUAAUGCUUUUUUCUCUGCACAUUGCUCAACAUAUCUCAUACAGGGCCCCAUUUUCAAAAUUUGCAUUACGCCUUAAAAAGUUAAUUGAUUUCUUGAAUAAUUACCAAUUAGUCACUUCAAACCACAAUCAAUGAAUAAACAAAUAAAUAAAUAGUACUAACAACAAUUAUACUAACAAAUGAAAAGUAAAAAAUAAAAAUAUGAGGUACAACACGAGGACUUCCUAAUAGGUUAUUUAUCCUAGUAUUACUUUCGCCCAUGUAUGUUUAACUAUGAAAUUCUAAUGGGACCCAGUGGUUUAAUGCUGAUACAAUCGCACUUGCCACUUGAUACACAAAUAAUUUAUAUAACCCUUCCUUCUCCGCACGUUGCUUAACAUGUCACAUGCAGGCCCCUAUCCUUGAAAUUUGCAUUACGCCUCAAAGAGUUAAUCGAUUUUUCGAGUGAUUACCAAUUAAUUACUUUGAACAAUAAUUAACAAAUAAACAAAUAAAUAAAGAGUGAUAACAACUUUAUUGACAAAUGAAAAGUAAAAAAUAAAAAUAUGGGUUGUAACAUAAGAAAUUCCUAAAAGGUCACCCAUUCUAGUAUUACACUCGCCAAGCAUUCUUAGCUGUGAAGUUUUAUGUGAUUGAUACUUUAGUGCUGGUAUAAUUGUACCUACCAUUGAUACGGGCCCCCAUACUUGAAAUUUGCAUUAAUUGUAAAAAAGAUGAUCGAUUUCUUGAGUCAUUGCCAAUUAUUUACUCCAAACAAUAAUUAAUGAAAAAAUAAAUUAAUUAAUAGUAAUAACACCAACUAUACCGAUAAAUGGAAAGUAAAAAUAAAUAUGUAAGGUGCAACAUAAGGACUUUCUAAAAGGUCACCCAUCCUAGUGCAACUAUUGUCCAAGCAUGCUUAACUGUAGAGUUUUGAUAGGAUUUGGUACUUUAGUGAUGCUAUGAUCACAAACAUCACCUGACAUGUAAAUAAUAUAUAAAACCCUUCUUUCUCCGCAUGUUGCUCAAAAUAUACCCAUUGGGCUCCCAUAUUCGUAAUUUGCAUUACACAUUAAAGAGUUAAUCAAUUUCUCAAAUCAUUAGCAAUUAAUCACUCUAAACGAUAAUCAACAAAUAAACAAAUAAAUAAAUAGUAAUAACAACAACUAUACCAACAAAUGAAAAUAAAAAAAUAAAAAAAUGGGUUGAAACAUGAGAAUUUCUCAGAAGGUCACCCAUUCUAGUACUAAUGUCACCCAAUAAUGCUUAAUUGUGGAGUUUUGAUGAGAUUUUGUGCUUUAGUGCUAGUAUAAUCGCACCUAUUACUUAACGCGCAAAUAAUAUAUAUAACCCUUCUUUCUCUGCAUGUUGCUCAACAUAUUCCACAUGGACUUCCUUCCCCAGAAUUUGUGUUAUGCUUCAAGCGUUAAUUGAUUUCUAGAUUCAUUACUAAUUAAUCAUUCCUAAUGAUAAUUAACGAAUAAACAAAUAAAUAAAUAAUAAUAAUGACAAAUGAAAAGCAAAAAAUAAAAAGGUUUUAACCCUCAUAUGAAAAAUAAUUGUAUAAACAACUAUAUCGACAAAUUGAAAUAAUGCUUAAUUGUAUUAACAAUUAUACCGACAAAUAAAAAGUAAAAAAUAAAAAUGCAAGGUGUAACACGAAGACUUUCCAGGAAGUCACUCAUCUUAGUACUACUAUUGCCUAAGAGUUUUGAUGGGAUUUAGUGCUUUAUUGUUGGUAUGAUUGCACCCAUUAAUCGACUCCAAAUAAUAUUCAUAACCUAUAUUUCUUCACACGUUGCUUUAUAUAUCCUGUAUAGGCCUCUAUCCUCAAAAAUUGCAUUACACCUUAAAUAAUUUAUUGAUUUCUUGAGUUAUUACCAAUUAAUCACUCCGAAUGAUAAUAAAUGAAUAAACAAAUAAAUAAAUAGUAAUAAUGGCAAAUGAAAAUAAAAAAAUAAAAAUGUUUCAACGGAUGGAAAAAUAAUUGCAUAAACAACUAUGCCAACAAAUGAAAAGCAAAAAAUAAAAAUGUGGGUUGUAACACGAAGACAUCUUAAGAGGUCACCUAUCUUAGUAUGUUUGAGUAUGGAGUUCUAAUUGAAUCCAAUGGUUUAGUGCUGGUAUAAUCACUUCUAUCACUUGACGUGCAAAUAAUAUACAUAGCUAUUUUUUCUCUACAUGUUGCUUUAUAUGUCCCAUAUGAGCCUUUCCUCCGAAAUUUGCAUUAUGAUUCAAAUAGUUGAUUGAUUUCUUAGGUUAUUACCAAUUAAUCACUUCAAAUGAUAAUUAACGAGUAAACAAUUAAAUAAAUAGUAAUAAUGACAAAUGAAAAACAAAAAAUAAAAAUGUUUUGACCCUUAGAUGAAAAAAUAAUUGCAUAACAACAAUACCAACAAAUGAAAAAAGAAUAAAAAUAUAGGAUGCAACACUAGGACUUCCUAAUAGGUCACCCAUCAUAGUACUAGUCUCUUCCAAGCACGUAUAACUACGGAGUUCUUGUGAGAUUUGGUGCUUUGGUGCUAGUAUGAUUGCACUAGCAAUUUCACGCAUAAAUAAUAUACAUAACCCUUUUUUUUCACGCUUUGCUCCAUUUAUCUCACGUAGGCCCUCAUAUUUGGAAUUUGCAUUACACCUCAAAGAGUUAAUCAAUUUCUCGAGUCGUUACCAAUUAGUCACGUCGAAUGAAAAUCAAUGAAUAAACAAAUAAAUAAAUAGUAAUAAUGACAAAUGAAAAGUGAAAAAUAAAAAUGUUUUGACUCUUGGAUGAAAAAAUAAUUAUAUAGACAAUUAUACCAAUAAAUGAAAAGAAAAAAAAUAAAAAUGUGGGGUGCAAUAAGAGGACUUUCCAGUAUGUCACCCAUCCUAGUACUAUUCUUGCCCAAGCAUGCUUGACUAUGAAGUUCUAAUGGGAUUUGGUGCUUUAAAGUUGGUAUGAUUGCACCUAUAACUUGAUGGUCAAAUAAUAUACCUAACACAUCCUUCUCCGUGCGUUGCUCUAUAUAUCCCACACGGGCUCCUAUCCUCAGUAUUUGCAUUACACUUCAAACAAUUAAUUGAUUUUUCGAGUCAUUACCAAUUAAUCAUUUCGAAUGAUAAUAAAUAAAUAAAUAAAUAGUAAUAAUGAUAAAUGAAAAGCAAAAAAUAAAAUUAUUUUGACUUUUGGACUGAAAAAUAAUUGUAUAAACAACUAUACCAACAAAUGAAAAGUAAAAAAUAAAAAUGUAGGGUGUAACAUGAGGACUUCUUAAGAGGUCAUCCAUUCUAGUACUACUCUUACUCAAGCAGGCUUAAUUGUAGAGUUCUGAUAGAAUCUAAAGCUUUAAUGCUGGUAUGAUUGCACUUGUUAGUUGAUGUGUAAAUAAUAUACAUAACCCUUCAUUUUUCACACGUUGCUCUAUAUAUCUCAUGCGAGCCUUCAUCCCCGAAAUUUGCUUUAUGCCUCAAAAAGUUGAUUAAUUUUUCGAGUCAUUAGUACCUAAUCAUUCAGAAUGAUAAUUAACGAAUAAAUAAAUAAAUAAAUAAAUAGUAAUAACGACAAAUGAAAAGUGAAAAAUAAAAAUAUUUUGACCUUUGGAUGGAAAAAUAAUUGUAUAAACAACUACAUCAAAAAAUGAAAAGCAAAAGAAAAAAUGUGAGGUACAACAUGAGGACUUUCUAAAAGGACACCCAUCAUAGUACUAUUCUCGCCUAAACGCGCUUAAUUGCAAAGUUCUGAUAGGAUCUAGUUCUUUAGUGUUGGUAUGAUUGCACUCAUAAAAUUACAUGCAAAUAAUAUAUAUAUCCCAUGUUUCUUCACGUGUUGCUUUAUAUAUCCCACAAGGGCCCUUAUCUUGAAACUUGCGUUACGCCUCAAAGAGUUAAUUGAUUUCUUGAGUUAUUACCAAUUAAUUACUUCUAAUGGUUAUCUACAAAUAAACAAAUAAAUAAAUAGUAAUAACAACAAAUGAAAAGCGAAAAAUAAAAAUAUUUUGGCCCUUGGAUGGACAAAUAAUUGUAUAAACAAUUAUACUGACAAAUGAAAAGCAAAAAAUAAAAAUGUGGGGUGUAACACGAGGACUUCCUAAAAAAUCACCCAUCCUAGUACUAUUCUUACCUAGGCACAUAUAACUACAAAGUUCUGAUAGGAUUCAAAGUUUUAGUGUUGGUAUGAUCGUACCUAUUUCUUGCGCUCAAAUAAUAUACGUAACCUUUCAUUCUCCAUGCGUUGCUUGAUAUAUCCCACAUAGGCCCUCGUCCUCAAAAUUUACGUUACGCCUUAAAGAGUUUAUCAAUUUUUUUAGUCAUUACAAAUUAAUCACUCCGAAUAAUAAUGAAUGAAUAAACAAAUACAUAAAUGGUAAUAAUGACAAAUGAAAUGCGAAAAAUAAAAAUGUUUUGACCUUUAGAUGGAAAAAUUAUUGUAUAAACAAUUAUACUGACAAAUGAAAAGCAAAAAAUAAAAAUGUGACUUGGAACACGAGGAUUUCCCAAAAGGUCAUCGAUCAUAGUACUACUUAACCCAAUCAUGCUCAACUACAAAGUUUUGAUGGGAUCUAAUGCUUUACUGCUCAUAUUACUGCACGCAUUACUUAACGUACAAAUAAUGUACAUAAAACUUCUUUUUUCAUGUGUUACUCUAUAUAUAUCACACAGGCCUCUGUCUUCAAAAUUUGCAUUAUACAUUAAAGAGUUAAUCAAUUUCUUGAGUCAUUACCAAUUAAUUACUUUGAAUGAUAAUCAAUGAAUAAACAAAUAAAUAACUAGUAAUAAUGACAAAUGAAAAGUGAAAAAUAAAAAUGUUUUGACCCUUGGAUGGAAAAAUAAUUGUAUAAACAACUAUACCAACAAAUGAAAAGAAAAAAAUAAAAAUGUAGGGUGCAACACGAAAGCUUUCCAAGAAGUUAUCAAUCCUAGUAUUACUAUCGCCCAAGCACACUUCAGUACGGAGUUAAGAUGGCAUCUGAUGCUUUAGUGUUGGUAUGAUCUCACUUGUCACUUAAUGUGCAAAUAAUAUACAUAGCCCAUUCUAGUACUACUCUUACUCAAGCAUGUUUAACUAUGAAGUUCUGAUGGGAUUUGGUGCUUUAAUGUUGGUAUUAUUACACCCAUUACUUAACGCACAAAGAAUACAAUAACCUUUCAUUUUCUAUGCAUUAUUCUAUAUAUCUUAUGUAGUCUCCAUCUCUGAAAUUUGCAUUACCCCUCAACGAGUUGAUCGAUUUCUCAAACCAUUACAAUUUAAUCACUUCAAGUGAUAAUCAACAAAUAAACAAAUAAGUAAAUAGUAAUAAUGACAAAUGGUCAGUAAAUAGUAAUAAUAACAAAUGGUCAGCAAAAAAUAAAAAUGUUUUAACCCAUGGAUGAAAAAAUAAUUAUAUAAACAACUAUACUAAAAAAUGAAAAGCAAAAAAUAAAAAUGUAGGGUGCAACACAAGGACUUUUGGAGCGGUUACCCAUCCUAGUAGUAUUUUCGCCAAAGCAUAUUUAAUUGCAUAGCUCUGCUGAGAUUUGAUGCUUUAGUACUACUAUGAUCGCACCCAUCACUUGACUCAAAAAUAACAUACGUAACCCUUUUUUCUACAUGCGUUGCUCUAUAUAUCCCAUGCUUGCCCUAUCACUGGAAUUACAUUAUGCCUUAAAGAUUUCAUUGAUUUCUCGAGUCAUUGCUAACUAAUCAGUAUAAAUGACAAUCAAUGAAUAUACAAAGAAAUAAAUAGUAAUAACAACAAAUGAAAAGUGAAGAAUAAAAGUGUUUUGACUCUUGGAUGGAAAAAUAUUUGUAUAAAUAACUAUAUCGACAAAAAAUAAAAAUAUGGGUUACAGGAUGAUGACUUGCUAAGAGGUCAUCCAUCCUAGUACUACUCUUGCCCAAGCAUGUUUAACUGCAUUAUUCUUAUGGGAUCUUGUGGUUUAUUAUUGGUAUUAUCGCAACCAUCACUUGAUCGCCAAUAAUAUAAAUAAACAUUCUUUCUUUAUCCAUUGCUCUAUAUAUCCCACGUAGGCGCCCAUCUUCAAAAUUUAUGUUACGCCUUAAAGAAUUGAACAGUUUUUGAAGUCAUUGCCAAUUAAUCACUUUGAACAAUGAUCAACAAAUAAACAAAUAAAUAAAUGGUAAUAACAACAAAUGAAAAGUAAAAAAUAAAAAUGUUUUGACUCUUGGAUGGAAAAAUAAUUGUAUAAACAACUAUAUUGACAAAUGAAAAAAAAAUAAAAAUGAGCGAUGCGACAUGAGGACUUCCCAAGAGGUCACCCAUCCUAAUACUACUUUGACCUAAGUGUGCUUAACUGCAGAGUUCUAAUAGGAAUCGGUGUUUUAAUGCUGGUAUGGUUGAACCAGUCACCUGAUGCGCAAAUAACAUACAUAACCCUUCAUUCUCCAUGUGUUGCUAUAUAUAUAUAUAUUUAAUGGGGACCUCGUCCCCAAAAUUUGCAUUACUCUUCAAAGAGUUAAUCGAUUUUUUGAGUCAAUACCAAUUAAUCACUUCGAACGAUAAUCAACAAAUAAACAAAUAAAUAAAUAGUAAGAAUGACAAAUGAAAAGCGAAAAAUAAAACUGUUUUUACCCUUGGAUGGAUUAUAAACAACUAUAUCUACAAAUAAAAAGAAAAAAAAUAAAAAAAUGAGGUGCAACACAAAGACUUCCUAGAAUGUCACCCAUUUUAGUAUUACUCUUGCCCAAGCAUGUUUAAUUGCAGAGUUCUAAUGGGAUUCGGUGCUUAAGUUUUGGUAUGAUUGCACCCAUCACUUGAUGCACAAAUAAUAUACGUAACCCUUCCUUCUUUGAGUGUUGCUUUUUAUAUCCCAUGCAGGCCCCCAUCCCUAAAGUUUGCAUUACGCCUAAAAGAGUUGAUCAAUUUCUUGUGUCAUUACCAAUUGAUCACUCCGAACAAUAAUGAACGAAUAAAAAAAUAAAUAAAUAGUAAUAAUGAUAAAUGGUCAGUGAAAAAUAAAAAUGUUUGACCUUUAGAUGGAAAAAUAAUUGUAUAAACAACUAUAUUGGCAAAUGAAAACUUAAAAAAAAAAUGUGGGGUGCAACAUAAAAACUUCCUAGGAAUUCACCUAUCCAAGAACUAUUUUCACCCAAGCACAUUUAAUUACGGAGUUCUAAUGAGAUUUGGUGCUUUGGUUCUAGUAUGAUUGUACCUAUCACUUGAUGCGUAAAUAAUAUACAUAACCCUUCCUUGUCUGAGUGUUGCUCUGUAUAUGCCAGGUGGGCCCUCAUCUCCUGAAUUUGCAUUACGCAUCAAAAUGUUAAUCAAUUUCUCUAGUCAUUACUAGCUAAUCAUUUUAAAAAUAAUCAACGAAUAAACAAAUAAAUAAAUAUUAUUAAUGACAAAUAACAAGCAAAAAAUAAAAAUGUUUAUACAAAUAUACCGAUAAAUGAAAAGCAAAAUAUAAAAAUGUGGAGUGCAACAUGAAGACUUCCUAGGGAGGUUAACCAUGCCAGUACUACUCUCACUUAAGGAUGCUUAACUGUGAAAUUUUCAUAGGAUCUAGUGUUUUAGUGCUAGUAUGAUCUUUACCCAUCACAUGAUACACAAAUAAUAUACAUAACCCUUUCAUCUUCGUAUGUUGCUCAAUAUAUCCCAUUUGGGCCCUUGCCCCCGAAAAUUAUGUUGUGUCUCAAAGAAUAGAUUGAUUUCUCGAUUCGUUACCAAUUAAUUACUUCAAAUGAUAGUCAAAGAAUAAACAAACAAAUAAAUAGUACUAACAACAAUGAAAAAUGAAAACUAAGAAUGUUUUGACCCUUAGAUGGAAAAAUAAUAGUAUAAACAACUAUACCAACAAAUGAAAAGCAAAAAAUAAAAAUGUGGGGCGUAGCACAAGUACUUUCCAAAUGGUCACCCAUCCUAGUACUACUUUCACCCAAGUGCACUUAACUACAGAGUUCUGAUGGGAUCCAACACUUUAAUGUUAGUAUGAUCGCACACAACAUUUAACGCACAAAUAAUAUACAUAACCCUUCCUUCUUCGUGUAUUGCUCUACAUAUCCCAUGCGGGCCCUCGUCCCCGAAAUUUGCAUUACGCCUAAAAAAGUUGAUCGAUUUCAUGAGUCAUUACCAAUUAAUCACUUUGAACUAAAAUAAAUGAAUAAACAAACAAACAAAUAGUAAUAACGUCAAAUGAAAAGUGAAAAAAAAGAAUGCUUUGACCCUUGGAUGGAAAACUAAUUGUAUAAACAACUAUAUCGAAAAAUGAAAAGCAAAAAAAAAAAUGUAGGGUGCAACUUGAGAACUUCCAAAGAGGUCACCUAUCUUAGAACUACUUUCGCCUAAACAUAAUUAACUACAAAAUCCUGAUGGGAUUUGAUGCUUUAGUGCUAGUAUGAUUGCACUUUUCACUUAAUGUGCAAAUAAUAUUCUUGACCCUUUCUUCUUUGUGCAUUGCUCUAUAUAUCACAUAUGGCUCCUGUCUCCAAAAUUCGCGUUAUGCCUUAAAUAGUUGAUCGAUUUCUCGAGCUAUUACAAAUUAAUCACUCUGAACGAUAAUCAACAAAUAAAUAAACAAAUAAAUAGUAAUAUCGAUAAAUGAAAAAUGAAAAAGAAAAAUGUUUUGCGUUUUGGAUGGAAAAAUAAUUGUAUGAACAACUAUAUAGACAAAUGAAAAGCAAAAAAUAAAAAAUGUGAAGUGCAAUACGAGGGCUUCUCAGGAGGUCACCCAUGAAUGAUAAUGUCCAUAAAAAAUUCUUGUAUUCUUUUGAAAAGAAAUGUAGGAUGACAAGGGAAAAAAAUGAAAAAGAUAGAAGAAACCUAAGAAGAUGAUUUGAAAGGGGAAAUGGGGUGACCAAGUGAUUAAUAUGGUGAUGAAUUGGUUGACAUAAGCUAUGAGUUGUGAUCAAUUGAUGGAAAAUAAUGUAGAUCGGUUGAUGGAAUUGGUUUUGAAAUUAUUAGUGCUGAGUAGCUAAAAAGGAAAAUAUGAGAUAAUAGUCUUGAGAACCUUAUUACCACAAUUGAAAUUUUAUGACAUUGAUUUUAGUGACAUUUGCAUUGCAUGUAUUACGUUUUCAUUGUUGAGUAUCUAGAUUAUUGUUUUGAAUGUUGCACAUCGUUGUUUGAACCAAACAUCUGUAUUGUUUAGUGAAAGUUUGAAUUGUUGUAUUUGUAUCAUUUAGAAAGUAUUUGCAUUAUUAUGGUAGCAGUCAUUAUAUACAAAAUUUUGACUUUGGUGAUAGAUUGAAGAUUUUCAUGAGAAGGAAUUUUGAACUUUUUGAAGAAAGCCUUUUAAGAUAAGAUUGUGAAUCUUCAAAUGAUGAAACUAUUUUAUAAGGAAAACAUUUAGAAUUUUAAAGUUGUAGAGCCUUUUUAAAGAAUAUUUUCAAUGUUGAGAAUGAUUUGUAAAGACCUUUGGACAUAAUCUCUAUGAAUUUUCAAAUGACAAUCUUUGAGUUUUAAAUGAGAAUCUUUUAAAUUUGUGUUAAUCUUUUAAGUUUUUUGAAUUCGAAUCUUUGAAAUUUUAAAAGUUUUGAACGGGAACCAUUGAAGUAUUGGAUGUGACACACUAAAGUUUUUUGAAUGAGAAUCUUUGAAAUCUUAUAAGUGAAUCCUUGAAGUUUUUUAAAUUAAAAUCUUUAACUUUAGGUAUGAAUUUCUAGAAUUUUUGAAUGUUUAUCUUUGAAUGUUGGAUGUGAGCCUUCAAAUUUUGAUACGCAUCCUUGAAUUGAACUUUGGAUGUGAAUCUCUUGAAUGGAAUAUGAAAUUCUUGUGAAUCUAAAAGUCUUGCGAAUAUGAAUAUUCUUGCGAAUAUGAAAUUUUUACGAAUUUCACUUCUUGCGAAUCUAAGUUUUUGUGAAUCUAAAAUUCUUGUGAAUUUGAGUUCUUACGAAUCUAAAAAUUUUGUGAAUUUGAGUUUCUAAGAAUUUUUUAGUAGUUGUGAAUUUGAAAUUUUUGUGAAUCUUAGUUCUUAUAAACUUUUGAAAUCUGACAAAUUUUUGAAAUCUUACGAACCUUUGAAUAUCAAAAUGUAAACCUUUGAAUUUAAUUGCAAAUGCUUGAAUUUCAAAUUGUAAACCAUUGAUUUUUAAGUUGGAAUUCUUAAAUUAAAAAUUAUGGUUCUUUAUUUCAGAUGAGAAUCUUUUAAUUUUUUUUUACUUUUGAGUUAAACCAAAUAUAAUGAGUGUCUAAGUCUUUGCAUAAUUCUUAUUUCACAAGAAAUGCACAAAUGGGGGCAACUGUAGACAUUCUAUUUUCUCUAGGAUCAUUUAAAAAGCCCUCAAGUCUCGCAUUAGUUCAAAAUGGGCUUUGAGCUUAGCCUGUUUUGGUUUUGGGUUUAUUAUUUGAGUUUUGGACUCAGGUGAUAGUUAGACCUAAAGCCAAGUCCAUUUGUUUUUUUUUUUUAGAAUUUUUUAUUUAUUUUAGUUUUUUUUUCUAUAAAAAAAUGAUAAACAAAAAUGAUAAGAUUAGGAUUUUGAAUUCAAAUUUGGAUUAAAUUGUUAGAAUAGAGGCUAAAAUUUAAAAAAAGGGAUUAGGCAUGAAAAUCUUAUUCAACCGAACCCUAUAUUUUGCUUAUGGACUAUAUCAAUUCAAUUCUUAUUUAAAUAGGAAUAAUUACACAAAGAAAAUCAGUGAAGAACAGACAGAGUAGGCAACCAUUAGUAGCUAUGGAUGACCACCUUCACCCUACUAUAGCUUAGCCAUUUCCUUACCAUCUCACAGCCAUUUCAUCACCUCUGCCAAAGCACCAUUUGGCCGCCUCCAUCACCAUCCUAAUCCCAACCAUGAAAUCUACCGUUAUAGCAACUACAGCCAUAACCUUAAAAUUAUAUUCCCAAAUCACCACUUCCAUCACCAUUGUCCAACCAAUAUCCAAAAAGAUCCAAUUCAAGCUGCUAGUUCACUAGCCAUACACCUUAAACUCAUUCAAUAACCUAUUCAUUAUCAUCACUACAAGAAUCGAACCCUUACACCAAAGAACCUAAAACCAAAAAAUUAUAGAGAAAAAUCGAGUAAAAACAAUACUUGGCUAGUUGCUAAACCAAACCCACAACCAACACAAACUUAAAAAGAAAAUAGUCAGCACUCGACGUCAUUAACUUCUUGUCAAACUUCCAUUGAAUAUCAAUAGGCAAAAGAAGAAAAACAAAUCCAACAAAUACAAAAAAAAAAAAUUGCAAAGAUUUGAGUUUUGUUUCGGGUUUCCUAGUCCUUAAUAAGAAGAAAAACAAAUGUUGACGAUAAGAGGAGUGGUAACAACGACAUUAGCUAUGGUGGUUGGUGACGACAGUGGGAUUUUAAAAGAUGGAAACCCACAAGCACGAAAAGCUUGAUGAUGAUGAUAGCAUAUUGAAAAUUAGAAAGAUCGAAUGGCAAAAAAAAGCUAAAACGACAGUGGAAAGUUACAGCCUUGACUUCAGGUCUAGGUUUUUAAAGGAUGAUUGAGGGUUUUGUGAUUUUUUUUUUAAAUAUAAAAAUAUAAGGUUUUAUCAACAUAUUGAAAAAUUUUAUUAAUUUUUGACAAAAAAAUUAAAAUUCCAAAACCAAAUAAUUUUCAUAAAAUCCUACUAACAUAUUAUAGGAUAAUUUUGACAAAAAGUCUUUCCAACAUAUUGGAAGAUAUUUUUUAAAUAAAACAUUUUUUAUAAAAAUCAAUUUUGAAUAUUCAAUGAUGGAAUUAUUAAGAACAUUACGAAUAACAACUUUUAUGUAAAUUCUUAAGUGAAAAUUUUUUUUAAAAUUUUACCAACAUAUUGGAGAAUUUAGAAAAGAUUUUCAAUAUCAAGAUUCUCACAAAAAUUACCAAUAAAUUUUUUUACAAAAAUUGAAUGAAUCUAAUGACAAAACCUUUUCAAAAUGUGACACUAGUUUUCUUGAAUACUCAGAAGAUGAGGGAAUGUCCUAAAAUUAUUACUAACAUAUUGGAGUAAUUUUAAGAUAAUUCAUAAUAAUUAAUUACUUGGUAAGAUAUUUUGAGGCUUGGAUAACAUGAAAUCAAACCAAAACCAUUAUUUGAUAGGAAUUGUGAGGAUGCUAUAACCUUCCUCACUCAUAACAUAUUCCUAGACCUAGUCUUGGUUUUAUAGACCAUAAUCUAUAUUUUAGAGAUACCCAAAUCAAGUUUGAGACUUCUCUUUAAAAUAAGACAGAUUCAGUUAUGUGUCCAAUCAUACAUAGCCAAAAAAGAUUGGUGACGACUUUUUAAGUUUAUGUCUAGCAAAAGGUUUACAAAUUUAUACGUUAUGACACUCAUCAUGCUCCUUAUCAUAUCCUUAAGGGUGUGAUUCUACCUUUCAGCCACACCAUUUUGUUCAGGAUUACCAAGCAUAGUAUAUUGGCAACAAUCCCACACUCUUGUAAGUAUUUGGCAAACAAUCCUACAUAUUGUCCAGUUUAACCAUGUCUGCCAUAAUACUCACCACCACGAUCAGACCUAACAACUUUGAUGACUUUCCUUAAUUGUUUUUCUACCUUAGUCUUAAAAAUUUUGACUUCAUCAAAAACAUCAAAAAUUUCACCUAGUAGGUAAAGAUACCUAUAGUGGGAAUAGUCAUAAAUAAAAGUAACAAAAUAUUUAUUACCAGACAAAGUAGAUGUAAGAGGUCUAUUAAUAUCAGUUUGUACAAUUUUUAAAAGGUCAAAAUUACGAAUUGCCUCUUUCUUCUUAGUCUUAGUUAGUUUACCUUUUAUGCAAUCAACAUAAAUGUUUAGCUUUUGAAAAGUAAAGGAUGGUAAAAUACCAUCUUUUAUCAAUCUUUGAACUCUUUCAUAAAAAAUGUGACCCACCCUUUUGUGCCACAACAAGAAAGAGUUUUCUUUAAUUAAAGAACUUUUAGACACUAUCUUUUCAACAUUAUUAUAACUAUAUUCAUUAUUAAAGGCCAAACAUAGUAUAUAUAAUUUGUCAACAAGUUUAAAUUCACCAACAACAUUUGAAUUUAAAACUAAGUCAACUUUUCCAUUUUCAAUGCCAAAGUAGUAACCACGUUUGUCCAAAAUAGAAAUUGAAAUCAAAUUCAUUCUAAAUGAAAGUACAUAAAAAAUAUUUUUCAAAACAAAUCCAAAGCCAUAAUCCAAAUUUAAACCUAUUAUUCUUACAUGACUAACAUCAACUUCAUCAUUGUUUCCAACUUUAAGUUUGGCCUAUUUUUCACUUGGCUGCUGUUUGCUUUUAAACCCCUAUAAAGUAAUAGCAACAUGAAUAGUUGCAUCACUAUCAAGCUACCACGAAUUCGGUUGGGCACUAAAAAAGUAGGAUUGAAAACAAACAAGAGCUAAUGAAUUACUUUCUUGUUUAUUCUUUUUUUCUAACCAAGCUUUAUAUUUAGGGCACUCAAAUUUCAUUUGACCUUUUUUAUUGUAGGAAAAACACUUGAUAUCCUUUUUAAUGCUAGGUUUAGGACCUCUUACCACUUUAGUCUAACCAUUAACCUAUUUUUUGUCAUCCUGAACUUUCUUAUGAGGAUUAGGAACAUAUCUAUCAAGUUUCCUAUAAUUUUUUGGUAAUUGAGUUUGGAGUAGGUAAUAAGAUGGGCACUCUCACUUUUUUUCUUAAGUUUUUCCUCCUUAGAAACAUAUUUUAAUAUGAUAUCAUUAACACUCUAAACUUUAUUCAUAGCAUUAUAGACUAUUUUGAUAUGGGUGAACUUAAUAGAUAAGCAGUUAAAGGCAUGGUGAACAAUGAAUUUGUCAGGGAGGACAAUUUCAUGAGAAGUUAGUUUGGUUUAAAUGUGGACCAUUCUCAUAAUAAAAUCUUUAACACUUUCUACAUUAUCAUAUCUUAUACUCGUAAGCUCACUCACAAGGUCUUCAGCCUCAUACUUAUUGAUUUUUUAUAUCUAUUGUUUAUAGCAUUGUAGAGAUCUCUAGUAAUUUUAGUAGUAUCCAAUUAACUUAAAAGGUGUUCAAAGAUAGAACUUUUAAUGGCAUACAAACACAUGUGAUUUGCCUUUUCCCAUUUGGUAAAAAAUUUCUUAUGUUCAAUAAUACUUUCAUUAGUAAGAUCAAUAGGCUUUGAAAAGCGUAAGGUAAUAUCUAUCUCACUAGCAAAGUUUAAAACUUCAUUCAAUCUCUUAUAAUUAGACCAUGAAGUACUUCGAUAGUAGGUUGAUUGCUAUUGACAGUAAAAGUCACUAUUUAAGAUAAAAUGUAAUAUCAAUCAACAGGUAAUAUCAUAAGUUGUAUAGCAAUAAUUCAUAAUGUUCUAACAAUUAUUGAAAGAUCCAAGUAUAUUAUCACAAACUCUCAUUUAGGCAAAGAAUGUAACAUGCGAUUAGGAACUUUUCACAUAAAUCUAAUACGGGAAUGUUUUAGUUUUUGAAAACCUAUCCUUUUUAGGUAGACAAAUUUUCUAGGUUGGUAUACCUUCAACCAUUAUGCUUUAUGUUCCAAAACAAGUUAUCCUACACAUAAACCCCUUUUGGGCAAGUAAAUGAAUAAGAUAAUUUAGCAACCAUCUUGUAACCUUAGAAUAAUAAAAUAUUCCAUUAACUUCAAUAUGUGAGCCAUUUUGGUAGCCAAGCAUUUAUUAAUUAAAUGAAAAAAAUUUUCAAACUAGAAAAUUUAAUUAAUUGCAUAAAAUUUUUAGUUUGCAUACUUAACCUUAAUGUAUGCAAUGGACCAUUUUAACUGAGAUACUAAAACUAGAUGUAUCUUAUCUUAACAUAUAGAUCCAUAAAUCUAUACCUAAACUUAAUAAAAUGAGUCACCACCAAUCUUUUUUAACUAGGUGUGAUUAGCCACAUAAUAAAUCUAUCAUUUUAAGGAGCUUCUAAGCUUAACUAAGGUCUCUUAAAGAAUAUGUUCUGAUCUGCUAAUCAGAACAUGGUUCAAGAGUUUGGUUACAUAUUGAGAAUGUUAUAACACUCCCAAAUGCCCAUCUAAAGGACGAUGCCACUUUAUUUUAAAUUAUCUUAAGCUCUUAAUUUUAAUGGUCUUAAAUUUGAUAUUGAAAAUAAUUUUUAAGAUUUUACAUUAAUUUGGUAAAAUUCUUAAAAAUACUUCAUCAUCUUAAGAGAAUUUAAGAAUCCCAUUUGUUUUCUUGAAUACGCUCCAUUGUUGGAAAAAGAUUUAAUUAUAUUUUCAUUUUUUGGUUUUUUUUAAUUGAAAAUAUAUCUAAUUCAUCCACCAUUUGGGCUAAAAUUAGAAAUAUCCUCUUAUCUAAAAAUUUCUUAGAUAAUCAUAUAUUUGUGAUUACUAAGAAUUUCAUCAUUGGGAUUUAUUUUUUAUUUUACAAGUUUUAUUUCUAAAUUUUUCACUAUUUGGGCUAAUUUAGAAAGUUUUUUAUUUGAUUUCUAAAUUUUUCACAAUUUGGUUUUAUUUAGAAAUUUUCUUUUUGAUUUCUAAAUUUUUCAGUAUUUGGGUCUAUUUAGAAUUUUUUUUAUUUUUUUUUAAUUUUUGAAAAGAAAAUAAUAUGCAAUUAUUUUUAAAGUUUCAUUUAAAUUCUUCCACCAUUUGGGAUAAAUUUAAAGAAAUCUCUCACUUAGAGAUUUCUUAAGAAAUUUACUAUUUGAAAUUUCUAAGAAUUUCAUCAUUGGAUAAUUGUCAAAUAUUUUUAACAAAAAAAAUUUAUUUGGAAAAGAAUGCAAUUACUUUUAUUGAAAUUUUAUCUAUAUUAUUCUACAAUUUGAGACAAAUUUAGAGAAAUUUCUCACAUAGAGAUUUCAUAGAAAUUUACCAUUCAAAAUUUCUAAGAAUCUCAUCCUUAAGUAAUUAGUAUUUAAUUUCAAAAUUUUAAUUAAUUUUUUUGAUUAAAAAUAAAUAUUAAUUAUUAUUAUUGAAACUUUAUCUAAAUUAUUCCACCAUUUAUGACAAAUUUAGAAAAAAAUUUAUCACCCAAGAAUUUUAUAAAAAUUUACCAUUUGAAGUUUCUAAAAAUUUCAUCAUUGGAUAAUUAUUAUUUAUUUUUAAAAAAUUAUUUUAUUUUGUUUUAUAUAUUUUUUUACUUUUCUUAAAUUUUAAUCAUGUAAAAAUACUUAAUAAAUAAAUAAAUAAAUAAAUAAAAAAUACCAAGAAAAUGGCUCGGCUCGGUUACAGGUAGGAAAAGUAGUUGAAACGGUGUGGCUUAUGGCUCGGCUCAGUUGGAGUCGGGGACGUGGGUUGAAAGUGGGUCGAGCGCUAUGGGUCGAGUCACCCACUAGCAAACACGUAAAUCCUGGAUUUCUUAAAUGCCUAAAAUGACAUUGUUUAAUAGUAGUAUAAAUGACCAAAUUCUUUCUUUUUUCAUCAAAUUUUCUUCUCUUUCUCUCUCAUUUUCUCUUUUCACUCUCUAUCUUUUUAGAACUUAGAUGAACUCUGAUUGAAUAUUUAUCAAAUUUCAAAAAUCUUAUUAGAAUCUGAGUUGAGUCAUAAGAAGUUCAUUGAUUUUUAGAAAACUGACAUCGAAAACUAGGAAUCUCACAAAAGUCAUUGAAAUCUUCAAAGAUUGCCUAAAAAUUCAACUAGAAUCUAAAAAUUUUCCAAAAAAAUUUCCCAAAAAAAAUCUUUUAAACCCAAAAAUCUCUUAAAAAUUUUUAUGCUCUCUCACAGCCUUCGCGUGUGUUUUUUUUUAAUCUCUGUGUAUUUUUUCCUUCUGUAUGGGAAUGUAUUUAUAGAGUUUUGAUAAAAAAACCUUAAUCCAAAAAGGAUUUUAAUUCCAUUUAAAUUUUAACUUUAGAUUUUAAGUCCAACCCAAACCCAAACAAAUAGUUUCAUUUAAACUCAACCACUUAAUUUUAUUUAUUUUUUAUUAUUUAUUAUUUAAUUAAUAGAAACAAGUAGAGCCUCGGAUAUAUUAAGGUGUCUACAUUUAUCUUUUUUUGCACAAUUUUUGUAAAACAAGAAUUGUGUAAAAACAUAAACAACCCAAUCAAGAAUCAUCUUGACAUAUAUAUAUUUUAAACAUACUCAGACUUUUUGAAUAACAUAAAAAUUCUUCUAAACAGAGGCUUCACAACUUUUGAGAAGUAAAUAAGGUUUUUUUAAGCAGAGGCUGAAUGACUUUUGAAAAGAAAAUAAAGCUCCUUUAAGCAGAGACUCAACAACUUUUUGAAAAGUGAAUAAGGCUCUUUUAAGUAGAGGCUCAACGACUUUUGAAAAGUAAAUAAGAUUCUUCUAAACAGAUGCUCAAUGACUUUAGAGAAAUAAAUAAGGCUUCUUUAUGCAGAGGCUUAAUGACUUUUAAAAAAUAAAUAAAGCUCCUCUAAACAGAUACUAAAUGACUUUUGAAAGUAAAUAAAGCUCCUCUAAGCAGAGGCUUAAUGACUUUUGAAAAAUAAAUAAAGCUUUUCUAAGUAGAGACUCAACGACAUUUGAAAAUAUCAUGCCUUCACUGAUUAAUCACUAUGAACGGUAGUCAACGAGUAAACAUAUAGUAAUAACGAUGAAUGGAAAGUGAAAAAUAAAAAAAUGUGUGGUGCAACAAGAGGGCUUUCUCAGAUGGCCACCCAUUCUAAAACUACUAUCACCUAAGCAUGCUUAAUUGCAGAGUUCUAAUGGGAACUAAUGCUUUAGUGUUGGUCUAAUCACAACUAUCAUUUGUUGUACAAAUUAUGUAUCUUACCUUUCUUUUCUUGUAUGCUACUUGAUGUAUCCCAUGCGAUCCCUCGUCCUGUAAUUUUCAUUACACCAAAAAAAGAGUUGAUCAAUUUCUCAAGCCUUCACCGAUUAAUCACUAUGAAUGGCUGUCAAUGAAUAAACAUAUAGUAAUAAUGACGAACAAAAAGCUAAAAAUAAAAAAAAUGUGAGGUGCAACACGAGAACUUCAAAGGAGGUCACUAAUUCUAGUACUGCACUUGCCUAAGCAUGCUUAACUGUAAAGUUCUAAUGGGAUCUAAUGAUUCAGUGCUAGCAUGAUCGCACCCAUCAUUCGUUGCACAAAUUAUGUAUCCUACCCUUCCUUUCUCGUACGCUGCUCAAAUAUCUCAUGUGAGCCCCCGUCCUCAAAAUUUUUGCUACACCAAAAAAAUAAUUUUUUGUGCUUUCACCGAUUAAUCAUUAGAAACGAUAGUCAACGAAUAAACACAUAGUAAUAAUGACAAACGAAAAGUGAAAAUAAAAAAAAGCAAUGUGCAACACAAAGACUUUCCAAUAGGUCACCUAUUUUAAUACUACUCUUGCCCAAGCAUGCUUAACUACGAAGUUUUGAUAGGAUCUGAUGCUUUAUUGUUGAUAUCAAUACACCUGUCAUGUAUUUCACAAAUUAUGUGUCCGAUCCUUUCUUUUUUAUAUGUUGCUCAAUAUAUCCCAUGCGGCCUUUCGUCCUUAAAAUUUUUAUUAUGACAAAAAAAAGGGUUGAUUGAUUUUUUGUGCCUUAACCGAUAAAUCACUAUGAAUAGUAGUCAACAAAUAAACAUAUAAUAAUAACGACAAACGAAAAAUGAAAAAUAAAAAAAUGUGGGGUGCAAUAUAAGGACUUUUCAAAAUGUCACCCAUUUUAGUACAACUUUCAUCGAAGUAUGCUUAACUGAAGAGUUCUAAUAAGAUCUGAUGCUUUAGUGUUGAUAUGAUCACACCCGUCACUUAUUGUGAAAAAUAUGUAUUUGACCUUUUCUUUUCGGUACGCUAUUCAAUAUAUCUCAUUCGAGCCUUCGUCCUCAAAUUUUUCACUAUGUUAAAAAAAAAAGGUUGAUCAAUUUCUUCUGCCUUCAUCGAUUAAUCACUACAAAUAGUAGUCAACGAAUAAACAUAUAGUAAUAACGACGAACGAAAAGUGAAACAUAAAAAAAUGUUGGAUGCAACAUGAAAACUUCACAAGAAGUCUCUUAUCCUAGUACUACUCUUAUCCAAGCAUGUUUAACUACAAAGUUCUGAUGAGAUCCGAUGUUUUAGUGCUCAUAUGAUCACUCUCAUCAUUCGUUCUACAAAUUAUGUAUCCUACCCUCCUUUCUCGUAUGCGGCUUGAUAUAUCUCAUGCAAGCUCCUGUCCCUAAAAUUUUUGCUAUGCCAAAAAAGGGGUUGAUCAAUUUCUAAUGCCUUCACUGAUUAAUCACUACGAACAGUAGUUAAUGAAUAAACAUAUAGUAAUAACGAUGAACAAAAAGCCAAAAAUAAAAAAUUGUACGGUGCAACAUGAGAACUUCCUUAGAAAUCACCUACCCUAGCACUAAUCUCAUUUAAGCACGCUUAACUACAAAGUUUUGAUGAGAUUUAAUGCUUUAUUACUGGUAUGAUAGUACUUGCCACUCGUUGCAUAAAUUAUGUAUCUGACCCUUCAUUUCUCGUACACUACUCGAUAUAUCCCACGUAGGCCCCCAUCCCUGAAAUUUUUACUAUGCCAAAAAAGGGGUUGAUCGAUUUCUCAAGCCUUCAUUGAUUAAUCACUAUGAAUGGUAGUCAAGAAAUAAACAUAUAGUAAUAAUGACGAAUGAAAAGUAAAAAGUAAAAAAAUUUGAGGUGCAAUAUGAUGACUUCAUAAGAGGUCAACCAUCUUAGUAUUACCUAACGCUCAAGCACACUUAACUGCUGAAUUUUGACAAGAUCCAAUGUUUUAGAGUUGGUAUGAUCCCACCCAUCACUUAUUGCGUAAAUUAUAUAUCCAACCAUUCCUUUCCCAUGUUGCUUGAUAUAUCCCACACAGGCCCCUAUCCUUAGAAUUUUUGCUACAAAAAAAAAAAAUUGAUCGAUUUUUCAUGCCUUUACUGAUUAAUCACUACGAACGAUAGUCAACGAAUAAACAUAUAAUAAUAAUGAUGAAUAAAAAGUAAAAAUUAAAAAAAUUUGGGGUGCAACAUGAAGACUUCCUAAGAGAUCACCUAACCUAAUACUACCUUCACCCAAGCGCGCUUAACUGUGAAGUUCUAAUGGGAUUUGGUGCUUUAGUGCUAUUUUGAUCGCACCCAUUAUUUGUUGCACAAAUUAUGUAUCUGACACUUUCUUUCCUAUAUACUGCUAGAUAUAUCCCACGCGGGCCUUAGUCUUCAAAAUUUUUACUAUGCCAAAAAAAAGGUUGAUCGAUUUCUCAUGCCUUCACCGAUUAAUCACUACCAACGGUAGUCAACGAAUAAACAUAUAAUAAUAAUUAUGAACAAAAAGUGAAAAAAAUGUGGGGUGCAAUGUGAGAACUUUCAAGGAGGUCACCCAUCCUAGUACUACUCUUGCCUAAGCAAGCUUAACUGUGAAGUUUUGAUAGAAUCCAGUGCUUUACUACUAGUAUGAUCACACCUCUUAUUUGUUACAAAAAUUGUGUAUCCUACCUUUCCUUUCCCGUACGCUGCAUAAUAUACCCCAUACUGGCCUUUAUCAUUGGAAUUUUUGCUAUGCCAAAAAUAAGUUGAUCAAUUUCUCAUGCUUUUACUGAUUAAUCACUAUGAAUAAUAGUCAACAAAUAAACAUAUAAUAAUAAAGACGAAUGAAAAGUGAAAAAUAAAAAAAAUGAGGUGGAAAGGUCACACAUUCUAGUACUAUUCUCGCCCAAGCACACUUAACUGUGAAGUUCUGAUGGGAUCUGAUGCUUUAAUGCUGGUAUGGUCACACCUAUCACACGUUGCACAAAUUAUGUAUCCACCAUUUUUUUUCCUAUAUGCUGCUUGAUAUAUCCAAUAUGAGUGUUCAUCCUUAAAAUUUAUGUUACAAAAAAAAAAAAAAAGGUUAAUCGAUUUCUCAUGCCUUCACUUAUUAAUUGCUAUGAACGGUAGUCAAUGAAUAAACAUAUAGUAAUAAUGACAAACAAAAAGCGAAAAAUAAAAAAAUGUGAGGUGCAACAUGAAGACUUCUCAGAAGGUUACCCAUCCUAGUACUACUUUCGUCCAGCUCGUUUAAUUACAGAGUUCUGAUGAGAUUCGAUGCUUUAAUGUUGAUAUGAUCACAAUCAUCAUUCAUUGCGUAAAUUAUGUAUAUGACCAUUCCUUUCUCGUAUGUUGCUCGAUAUAUCCCACGUGAGCCUUCAUCCUUAAAACUUUUGCUACGUAAAAAAAAAAAGGGUUGAUCGAUUUCUCGUGCCUUCACUUAUUAAUCACUAUGAAUGGUAGUCAACAAAUAAAAAUAAAGUAAUAACGAUGAACGAAAAGUGAAAAAUAAAAAAUUUUGGGUACAACACAAGGAUUUCCUAAAAGAUCACUAAUCUUAGUACUAAUCUCACCCAAGAAUGCUUAACUGUAGAGUUCUGAUGAGAUCUGAUGCUUUAGUGCUGGUAUGAUUGCACCUAUCAUUUGUUGCAUAAAUUUUGUAUUCUACCCUUUUUUUUCUUUACGCGGCUCAAUAUAUCCUACGCCCAAGUUCUAUCUUUGAAAUUUUUACUAUGCCAAAAAAAGGAUUGAUUGAUUUCUCGUGGCUUCACCAAUUAAUCACUAUGAACAGUAGUCAACGAAUAAACAUAUAGAAAUAACGAUUAACAAAAAAUAAAAAAUAAAAAAAUAUGGAGUGCAACACGAGGACUUUUUAAAUGGUUACCCAUCAUAGUACUAAUCUCGUCCAAAUACGCUUAACUAUGAAAUUUUGAUGGGAUCUGAUGCUUUAGUGUUAGUAUGAUCACAUCUAUCACUUGUUGCGUAAAUUAUGUAACUGACUCUUUCUUCUCCAUACAUUGCUCAAUAUAUCCCGUACGGGUCCCUAUUCUUGAAAUUUUUACUACACCAAAAAAAUAUGUUGAUCGAUUUCUCAUGCCUUCAUCGAUUAAUCACUACGAACGGUAGUCAACGAACAAACAUAUUGUAAUAACGAUGAACAAAAAGUGAAAAAUAAAAAAAAAUGGUGUGCAACAUGAGAACUUCUUAAAAGAUCACCCAUCCUAGUACUACUAUCAUCUAAGUAUGUUUAAUUGUAAAGUUUUGAUAGUAUCCAAUGCCUUAAUGCUGGUAUGCUCACAUCCGUUAUUUAUUGCAUAAAUUAUGUCUCCUACCCUUUUUUUCCCCGUACGAUACUUAAUAUAUCCCAUGUGGGCCCCUGUCUUUGGAAUUUUCAUUACUAAAAAAAAAAAGGUUGAUCAAGUUAUCGUACUUUCACCGCUUAAUCCUUAUGAACGACAGUCAAUGAAUAAACAUAUAGCAAUAAUGACGAGCGAGAAGCGAAAAAUAAAAAAAAUGUUGAGUGCAACAUGAUAACUUCCCAAAAGGUCACCAUUUAAUACUACCUUCGCCCAAGCACACUUAAUUACAAAGUUCUGAUAAAAUUCGAUGCUUUAAUGUUGGUAUAAUCACACCCAUAACUUGUUGUGCAAAUUAUGUAUCUAAACCUUUCUUUCCCAAAUCUUGCUUGAUAUAUCUCACACGAGCUCGCAUCUUUGAAAUUUUCUCUACGUAAAAAAAAAAUGUUCAUCAAUUUCUCAUACCUUCACCAUUUAAUCACUACGAAUGGUAGUCAAUAAAUAAACAUAUAGUAAUAACAACGAACAAAAAGUGAAACAUAAAAAAAAGUAGGGCGCAACACGAGGACUUCCCAGGAGGUCACCCAUCCUAGUACUACUCUCGCCCAAGCACGCUUAACUGCGGAGUUCUGAUGGGAUCCGGUGCUUUAGUGCUGGUAUGAUCGCACCCGUCACUUCUUGCGCAAAUUAUGUAUCCGACCCUUCCUUUCCUGUAUGCUACUCAAUAUAUCCCAUAUGGGCCAUCAUCCCUUAAAUUUUCGCUAUGCUAAAAAAAAGGUUGAUCGACUUCGUCUUUGGAAUUUUUGCUAUGCUAAAAAAAAGUUGACCAAUUUCUCAUGCAUUCAACGAUUAAUCACUACGAACAGUAGUUAAUGAAUAAACAUAUAGUAAUAACGAUGAAUGAAAAAUGCAAAAUAAAAAAAUCUAGGGUGUAACAUGAAGACUUCUUAAAAGGUCACCCAUCCUAAUACUACUCUCGUCCAAACACGAUUAAUUAUGGAGUUCUGAUGGGAUCCAAUGCUUUAGUGCUUAUAUGACCGCACCCAACACUUAUUCCGCUAAUUAUGUAUCUAACUAUUCCUUUCUUGUAUGCUGCUCGAUAUAUCACAUGUGAGCCUCCAUCCCUGAAAUUUUCGCUAUGACAAAAAAAUGCUUGAUCAAUUCUCAUGCCUUCACCAAUUAAUUACUACAAAUGGUAAUUAACAAAUAAACAUAUAGUAAUAACAAUGAACGAAAAGCAAAAAAUAAAAAAAAUGUGGGGUGCAACAGGAGAACUUCCCAAAAAGUUAUCCAUCCUAAUAUUAUUUUUGUCCAAGCAUGCUUAACUACGAAAUUUUAAUAGGAUCCAGUGUUUUAAUGCUGGUAUGAUUGCACCCAUCUUUCAUUGCAUAAAUUAUGUAUUAGAUCUUUCUUUUCUUGUAUGUUGCUCGAUCUAUCCCAUACGGGCCAUCAUCCCCAGAAUUUUCGUUACGUCAAAAAAAAAGUUGAUCAAAUUUUCGUGCCUUCACCGAUUAAUUACUACAACCUAUAGUUAACGAAUAAACAUAUACUAAUAACGAUGAACGAAGCGAAAAAUAAAAAAAAAUGUGGGGUGCAACACAAAGACUUUCAAGAAAGUCACCCAUCUUAAUACUACUUUCGUCCAAGCAUGCUUAACUACAAAGUUUUAAUGGGAUCUGGUGCUUUAGUGCUGGUAUGAUUACACCCAUCAUUUGUUGAGCAAAUUAUGUAUCCUACCCUUUUUUUACCACACACUGCUCAAUAUAUCCCAUACAAGUCUCUAUCUCCGAAAUUUUUGCUAUGCCAAAAAAAGUUUUGAUUAAUUUUUUGUGCUUUCAUCGAGUAAUCACUAUGAAUGGUAGUCAACGAAUAAACAUAUAGUAAUAACAGUGAACGAGAAGCAAAAAAUAAAAAAAUGUGAGGUGCAACACAAGGACUUCCUAAGAGGUCACCAUUCCUAAUACUACUCUUAUCUAAGCACGUUAACGACGGAGUUCUAAUAAGAUCUGAUGCUUUAAUGUUGGUCUAAUCACACAUGUCACUUGUUGCACAAAUUAUGUAUUCGACCCUUGCUUUCUCAUAUGUUGCUUGAUAUAUCCCACACGGGUUCCCAUCCUCGAAAUUUCUGCUACCCAAAAAAAAGUUGAUCAAUUUUUCAUGCCUUCAUCGAUUAAUCAUUGUGAAUGGAGUCAACGAAUAAACAUAUAGUAAUAAUGAUGAACGAAAAGCAAAAAAUAAAAAAAAAUGUGAAGUGCAACACAAGAACUUCCUAAUAAGUCACUCAUCGUAAUACUACUCUCACUUAAGCACAUUUAACUAUGAAGUUUUGAUGAAAUCUGAUGCUUUAGUGCUGGUAUGAUGACCCCUGUCAUAUGUUGUACAAAUUAUAUAUCCUACCCUUCCCUUUUUGUAAACUGCUCAAUAUAUCCUACGCAAGCUCCCGUCUCCGAAAUUUUUACAAUGCCAAAAAAAGGUUGAUCAAUUUCUCAUGCCUUCACCAAUUAAUCACUACGAAUAGUAGUCAACGAAUAAAUAUAUAGUAAUAACGACGAACAAAAAAUGAAAAAUAAAAAAAUUGAGGGUGCAACAUGAUGACUUCACAAGAGAUCACCUAUCCUAGUACUACCUUCGUCCAAGCAUGUUCAAUUGUAAAGUUUUGAUGGGAUCCGGUGCUUUCGGUGCUUUAAUACUGAUAUGAUUGUACCCAUCACUUGUUGCUCAAAUUAUGUAUCCAAUCCUUCCUUUCCUAUAUAUUGCUCGAUAUAUCCCACGUAGGCCCUUGUCCCUAGAAUUUUUACUACACCUAAAAAAGGUUGAUCAAUUUCUCAUGCCUUCAUGGAUUAAUCAUUAUGAAUAGUAGUCAAUGAGUAAACAUAUAGUAAUAAUGAUGAACAGAAAGCGAAAAAUAAAAAAAAAUUAAAGUGCAACACUAGGACUUCCUAAGAGGUUAUCCAUCCUAAUACUACUCUCAUGUGCUCUUGCCCAAACACGUUUAACUGCGAAGUUCUGAUAAGAUCCAAUGUUUUAGUGCUAGUAUGAUCUCACCCAUCAUUUGUUGUGCAAAUUAUUCUAGUAUGAUCUCACCCAUCAAGAGUAUGAUCUCACCUAUCAAGAGUAUUUGUAUUUUUAUUUAUUACUACAAUUAUUAUUCUUAGAAAUCCUCAAACAAUAUUAAUAGACAUAAAAAAAACUAUUUCAAUAACCAUUUUUGCCAAUUUAAAUCAUUAUAGUUGGUGAUGCACCAAAUAAAACAUAUAUAAUACGAGAAAUAGACAAAUGACAUACAUACAUAGUGAGCAAAUAAGAACAAGGCACAUGUAAAGAAAAGAUGGAACAAUAAAUUACAAAAAUGAAUAAACAAAUAUUAAAAUAAAGAAGAGAAUAAACGGGUUAAAAAGACAUAUAAGCGCAAAAUGAAAUAUGCAAGAAGUGUAAACAAAUUUAAAAUAAAAAUCAAACAAAUCUUAUACCUUGCAAAAGUGAAGUCCAUUUACUAAUUUGUUUGGGAUAAUGACAAAAAGGCCCUUUUAUUUUCAAAAUUUCCAGGCAGCAUCCUCAACUAUCAUUUUUAAGACUACAUACCAAAACUUUAAGCCCUUACACUAAACAGGAUCAAUAAACCAAGUUUCAUCAAUCACAAUAUCUAGAGUUCGAGAAUUUUCAUUGUAUGCGAUUGCAGUUACAGAAAAUGUUAAGGCCACAUGUUUGACGGAGGAAGUCUUAGCACAAUGUUCCCUUCAACAACAAAAUCAUAAGAACCUUCUUCCAGUAAGUUUGCUUUAAACAACUUUAGCCUUUUUUGCUAGACUUUUUAUUUUUGCUUCUUUGCUGCUCAUUUUUUUUACUGCCUUCUCUUUUUUUUGCUUUUGCUAUUUUUUUACUUGUUUUUGUUUGGUGUUUACUGUCACCGUUCUCACUUCUUACUUCUAAUUUUUUUUCCUUUUCUACUAUUCACCUUUUUUUCUACUCUUUUUGUUGUUGUAUUCUGCCUAUUACUGGCCUCUCUUUUUUUUUCCUUUUUCCUUUUUCUUUUUCUAUUGCUAAUUUUUUUCACCUCCAUUCAUAAAAGCCUCCAAUCCUUUCUUUUUAUGCCUAGUUUUUUUGGAUACCUCUUUUGUUUUGUUAUUUUUUUCUACUUUACGUCUUGCUCGCUUUUCUCUUCUUUUUUUUUUUUGGAUUUUAUUCUUCUUCUCAAAGCCUUUCCCACAUUUUUCUUCUUCUGUUCAAUUUUUUUUUGUUGCCCAGUGUUUUUUGGUAUCUUUUACAAUUUCUAUUUCUACCUAUUUUCACGUUCUAGCUGUCAGUUUUUUUUUGUUUUUUUGUUUUGCACUACUAUUUCCUCUUUUUACUCUUUUCUGGUUUACUUUGGCAGCCCAAUCUUUUUUCAAUGUUUACUUUCAUUUUUUUUUAGUUGCUCAAUUUUUUUCUGUUCUACCUCCUACUGGUUCUUAUUUGCUUUUUUUUUUUAAGUUUUUUUUCUACUCAACCCUUCCACGAACCCUGGCUUAUCUUCAAUUUUCAUGUUUCUUGUUUCAAUAAUUAGCAGCCUCCCACUUUUGGCUUUUAGCUUUUUUUUUCUUCCUCGCACAUUAUCCAAGCCGUUUCUUCUUAUUUUUCUUUUUUAUGUAUGUAACAAAUGUAAAGGCUUUAAGCCUAAUGCAAACUAAUAAAUGGUUUGACUAUUCUUUUUUUCUUUUUUUACAUGAAAAAAGUUCCCAUUUGGAGUCACUUUGGCCUUUAUUUUUUUUUACAUAUUUGUUUCAUUUUAUUUCAUUUGGACUCAUUUAUUUUAUGCCAAAAUUUUUUUUAUAUAUUUUAUAUUUAAUAAUUAAUUUAAUAAUUUUUUAUAUUUUAUAUUUUAUAUUUUAUUUAUUUAAAAUUUUCAUUUAAUAACAUCAAUAUAUCAUUGAUGAACUUUUAAGAAUAAACAUUUCUCAGACCUUUUAUCAUUCUUGACCUUUUAUCAUUCUUUGGAAUAUCAUUCGAACCAAUACAAUGAUCUUCACCAUAUGAGAUCCACGUUUGACCUCGUAUCAAAGCACUUAAAAAUGAACUAUUAAUUAUUCCAAAAAAUUAAUAAUCAAAAACCAAUUAUAGAAACAAAUCCAAAUUAAAAAAAUAAAAUAUCUUUAAAAAAAUUAAAUAUCUACAUAUUACUUAUUAGAUAUGCUAGUAUGAGAGCCGCAUUUUGUUGCUGAUUUAAAAAAAUUUUUACUAUUACUAUUAUUAUUUGAAAAUAGAUAAAUAUCAAUUAAAUUUAAUUAAAAUUGAUAUUUUGUAAAAUAAUAUAUCAAAAUCCUACAAAUAAAAAUAACAAAUAUAGUAAUUAUAAUGACUUUGAAUUAAAAUUAUUUUAAUACAAAAAUUUCAAACAAGAGACUUAAAUAAUUAUAAAAUUAAAUAAAAUUAACCCAUCAAAUAAAAAUGUAUAAUUAAUAAUUAUAAGAAAAAUAAAACCCAUGCCAAACCAAAGAGUCCAAUAUGAUGCAAGUCAUAAAAAAGUUCAAGAUAAAUACUUUUAAAAAUGGUUGAAAUUUCAUCAUUGUCCAAAGAUGUUUUUGUUGCUGCUAAGGACAAACUUUAGCCUUCCGGAGCCGAGAUGCUCGCUUUCGAUGCCCGCGGCCUUGCUUGUGUUGCUCCCACUCGUGUGCUCCUCUAAGUACCCUAUCUCCGCAGGCCUGCUGGUAAAAAAAUUAUAAGCUAAAAAUUUUCAAAACCAGAACCUUCAGCUUAACAGCAAGUAAAUUGUAACACACAAAGGUAAAUGAAAAUUAUCAGACUGGUUUCGUUUCAGCCAUGGCUGACCUUGCAUAUGUAUUGAGUCCACAAGUCCCUUUGGACUGUGUCCAUUAUAGUUUUAUUUUCCCCAUUCAAAGCACACUCUGUCCCAUCAUCCCCGUUGAGGAAAGAUUUAAUGAUUUUCACAGCAGGUACAACCACUUGCAUUGCCCAACACUCAUCAGAUUUGCCUGGAAUAUAGAAAUGAUCAAUCAAAUUGAUGAUUCACCCAAGAACAGGGAAGAUGAGUUUUUCAAUUGAAAAAUAAAUAGGAAUGUAAAGGACUGCAGGAGUGUACUCGAUAUAGAUUCCGUUGCGUCAACAUAAUUAAUAUUCCAUCCAAGCAAUGUCUGAAGUUGAUUGAGCCUCCUUUUCUGCAAAACAACAUUUUGCAUGCUAAUAAAUUCCACAAAUUGGCUUAUAGCCACCAAACCGCCAUAUAGCUUCCAUUUUAAUAGAUUCAGAGUGUGGUCUUAAAUUGAGUGCCAGAAACAACUCAAUUUCAGAACAGGUCAAAAUUAAUACUUAGUGGAACUAUUUAUCUGCAAAAAUAUUCUUAAAGUCACCAAUAUCGAAUCUGUCAUAUUGAAAGUUAUAUAGAAUCAGAUUAGUUGAAUGCCAAUUGGCAAAUAAUGUUCAGUAAUUUAUACUUAUCCACGGUCAGAAGCAUCUGUAGAAGGAAGAGGCAGAAGAAAGCAAAGAAAAGACCAAAAUUAACAAAAUCCUAAAACAAAUUUGAAAACUUUUCUGAAAAUGGGUAUCUCAGGGAUAAAAAUUGUUAGUUUUAUGAACGUAUUUGAAUUGCCAGCAGCACUGAAAGCUUUCCAACAGUAAUUCAGGUCUACCAAAAUCAUCAACAAUGUGACAAGAUAGACUUACCUGACGACGAAUAAGUCUCCGGGUGUUUGCUUUUACUUUGUCAAUGGCUUCUUCUAACAUAAUUUUUUGUAGGUUAUCACUAGAGGAAUUUAGUAUUCCCCUUAUAUUUUCUUUUAACAAUUUAUCAUCCAUCCUCGUUGACCACUUUAAGGUAUUCCAACCAGAAAAAUCACUUGUCUCAUCAUCCCUGCUGUCAGAAAAGUAAGCUCCAAGAAAAUUCUCAAAUUCUCGAACACCAAUGGCCUGUCGCAGACCUAGAGUAUAAUUUGCAUUUGGAUUGUAAAUGUCAUAAACUUCAUCAAGCAACCCAGCAUCUAUCAUGCAGUCUACCCUGUGUUCCACAUAUUGAUCCAGCACAGGAGUGGCAGCAUCGACACAUAUAAAACAACAACUGUAUCUAGAAUUAUCAACUCGGCCCCAGUUCUGCCCUGCCACAUGCAGAAUUUAUCAAAAUUGAAAAGCAAGUAGAUCAGCUCAGUGUCAUCUCCCCCUCAAGAAAUGUUAGUUUAGUCAUAAUGAUUAUUAUUUCUGCUCAGUCUUUCUAAAUCAAAACAGCAUUAAAUGUCUUAUAAAAGAAUUUAAAAAACAAAGAAGACAAAGUUAAACUUCAUGAUGGUACACAAGAUCAAGACCCAUGAACAUGAGUUAUGGAUCACAAACCUCUGCAGCCUUUCCCUGAUAAACUUUGCUGGGAAGAACACCAGAACGAGCAUAUAGACUAAGGUAUUGUUUAAUCUGCGAAAUUGAACCAAUGUCAGGAACGAAUAUACGGUACAUCUUAGUUAGAUAAGUAACUCUACAACCAAGUCUCAAGCACAUCAUAGAAACCCUUGAAACCUUUUGCAGAAGAAAUAACCAUUUUAGUUCCAUUAACAGAACAAUUUUUAACACUUGUGCUUUGUAUAGCUGACUAAGUUGACCUUAAUUUCAAGUUUGUCUAAUAAGCUUCAUAGUUUAGAACUCUCAAGCUAUUGGUUGCAUCUAAGUAGAUGAGUUAAACUGAAAGAAGUAAGAAACUGAGCUUUCUACCAAUAACUGCUCUGGAAAAAAAACUAACAAUUCCAAGAAGCCAAAAUGUAAUUCAUCAUCUACUUGUGCUUUUACACUUAGCUCAAUUUGAAUUUUCAUUAUAAAUUGAUUUUGGUAAGAUACACAGCAAUAUUUGGUAGGCAUUAGUAGCAAAAACAUAAUAUAACAAAACCCAGCACCAUAACAAGAUAAGCAUAUGAUAAAUGCAGACUUUCUAUGCAUAUCGAUAAGUAAAGAAUACAUGAAAAAUAGGUCCCUACUUUUCUUUGAUUAUUUGGAUGAAUUCUGUUUGCUGCAACUGGAUCAAGUUCUUUCAGAAGAUCAUAGCUAUAAUUGCAACUGUCUCCCUGGAAAUCAGCCUUAUGAUCGGUCUGCUGAUUUCCUGUUACAAUUUAAACAAUAUCAAUAGUUUAGUAAUUUAGAAUGAUUCAAAGCAAGAGGUUCCUACAUACCAGGAAGGGCGCUUGAGUAUAUUUCAUCCAUAUCUUCUGUUGAAUCAUCAAGAAGGAAUGAACUCACCAGAGCCUACAUACAAGGACUAAACUAUAAAUUUGACAAUGAGAGAAGAACAAAAGCUAAUUUGCUUGUACUCUAAAUAAAUAGGAAGAGACAAAAUUUAAAAAAAAAAAAGAAAAGAAAGAAGAAGCACAAAUAGAGAGACAGACACAAUGGGAGACGUGAUUCCCCCUGGAACUGGACAUAAUUCGCUAUGUUCGAGCAUUAGGCAAGAUAUUAUGGUAGAAAAUGUUUGCAUUGCCCGGAAGAACAUUGUUGACCAUCAAAUUUGCUAGAGGAAAGAACAAAAUAAUCUAAAGCCCCAGCGCAAAGUGAACAAAAAGUACAAGCAAAACAUUUUUUCGUUAAAGAAAUAUUUAGUUCAUAGCAUAUUAUUAGUCAUAAGGAUUAAAACCACCUUCAUACACAAGAAGGCUUAAACCAUGCCAGUGUUAUAAACUCCAUCUGAUUUUACUAAAGAUGAAUAAUCACAUAAGUAACAAUUGCUUACUUGAAUAUAGUAAUUGGUGCCUCCAACAAUGACUGGCAAACAGUUGCGAGAUAAUAUGUCACUAAUGAUCUGAAAGUACAAUAGCACGAAUUAAAUAGAGAUUAAAUGAUAGUGAACAAUAACAUAAAAAAGUAUUUAGCAUGAAUAAUGGCCAGACAACUAAAAAAGAGAGUUAUGUAACGUGACAAUAGACAUGCAUUUUUUAAGCUGAAACUAUAAGUUAUGGUCAAGAAACAUGAAAUAUGAAUAUUGAACUAGAUGCUUCUUGACCUCCAUACACUCACUGUGGCAAAAAGUGCACGAAUAGAGGGAAAGCAUGUCCAUAAAUACUUAUUCCAAAAUGUUCUCCAAAAUCAAGCAUAGAAGAAGAUCUAAAAUAAAUUGGCCAGGAAAAAAUUAAGAUAGUAGGGGAAAAAAAAUGGAAACGAGUGGCAACGGUAAUCUGAAUUAACAGAAAAUUUGUCUAGAAUUUUGUCAACCUUAAGUCUCAUGGUGUAUUAUAUUCCAUAUAAAAAAGGCUCUAGGACACUUAGGCUCCCAUAUGGAUGUUUCUUUUCCUACUUGCAUGUUGCUUCCAGAAUCACAAAGAAAAAUAAAUUUUCAUUGAAUACAAAAGCAAACAUAUUUUUUAAGAAUUAAAAAUUAAAAAUUAAAAUUGUUUAAAUAAGAAAAUGCAUGGAUUCCCUUAUAUAUAAUUGAGUUAGAAAAUGCGUUGCAAUAGUCGUUCAUUGAUUAUUACUCAAUUAGGAUUUUCCUUUCAACCAUUUAUUUUUACUUCACUACAACUUUUGAGCAAACAAAAAGCUAAGUAACAAAAGCCACAAGAUAUAAAACCUUGGAAAAACCACAAACAUGUAAGCUGAAAAGAACAGGCAUAAUGAAAAAUAAAAAGCAACAUGAACUCACAGGAAUUGCAGAAUCCCUAAACUUCUUGGCAGUGAAUUCCACACUUGAGCCAAUAGCACCCAAAAGAUGAUGGGGCACUCCUACACAAAAUUAAUAAACUAUUAAGAAAAAAUCUAAAGAAAUUUCCUCCCAAAAAAUUUUUUUUAAAAAAAAGAGAAACAAAUAAAAAGCCGAACCUUUUUGUUCAUGGAGAGGAACUUUGUUGGUAAGGACAUCAAGACCUUGAUAGACUUGCAUGGAAUCAGCAUUGAUGAUUUCAAUAGGAAAAUGGGUCGCCAAAUCAAUAGCUAAACGUGAUUUUCCUGACCCAGUUGGACCCAUUAUUACCACCACCUUCGGCUUCUCUUCUUCCCUUUUGGGUUCUCCUCCAUUGUUUAGGUUUAGGGUUCUAGCAGACAAUUCAGUGCUUGUUUCCAUCUCUCUCCUCGGUAUCCCUCUCUCUGUUUGUCUCUAAAUCCUCGCAAUUGCUGAGGUUGGAUAAGAAGCUAGCUGUUUGGUGGGCCUGUUGUUUAGGGGCAGGGUCACAAACAGGCCAACGCAAAGGAAUUCAAAAAUGGGUUUGGGAUGACGUUAAGUCAAACAUCAGCUUUGUUCAGUUCCUAAGCCCAUAAACUACAGGCAAAUGCAAACAAGGCUAUGAAGCCCGUCAGUAAACACUUAAUUAUUAAUAAUGGCUAUGAUAUUUAUGCCUCCUAGGAUUCGCAUAAAUUCUUAAUCAUUCAUGUUCUUCGUCCAUUCUACAGUAUCAUCGUAGAAAUUCCGUAUUAGGUUGUAAUCUCAAAGUUACUUGACUUCAAAAUGAGCGUAGGAUAUGGAUACAUGUUAGCCAUGCAUUCAUAUAAAUAAAUAUAUAUUUUAAUUUUUUAUAUUUAAAAAAUCAAAAUUUCAUAUGCAUGUUUUAUUAAGAUACAAAUAUACUAUAAAAAAUCUUUUUAAUAUUGAUGAAUUUUUAUCGAUAGAAUUUUUUCAUUUAUAAUUAUUGACAGACUUCUGAUAAUUUACCAACAGAGAACUAAAAAAAAAAUUAAAAUUUUUUUAUUGAUAGAAUUAUUGAUGAAAAAUAAUUUGUCGGUACUUCGUAAGUAAAGUCGGCACAGCAAAAUGAGAAUUUGGCGCAGGAUUUACAAACGAAAAAAAAUCUGUCACUAAAAUAUUCACCGACAGAUAAUUUUCUGUACGUAAAGAAAUUUCGAAAAAAAAAAUAAAAAAAUUGGAAGUAAAAUGAGAGGAAAAAAUUUUUAAUUACCAAUGAAUUCCGUUGAUAAUUUGUUGUUAAAAGUCAAAAUUACUUUGAAUUAACGACGGAAAUUCCAUUGGUAAUCCAUUGUUAAAAGUCAAUUAAAUGUAAAAAUCCCCUUCCCUGAUUGAAAUUCCUAAUUCAUCAGUUUCUCUGUCCUUUUCUCUCUCCACUCCUCUCAUAUCUCCCUUCCUCUCCUUUCUCUGUUCCUCGUCGCCGACCCAUGAAGAGCCCUUGAGCCCGUGACCGCUCGCUCGUGAACCCACCUUAGCUUUUGUUAGGUUGGUGAUGAAAUUUUGGGAAGCUUGUUUUUUAAGUUCUAACAGUAACAUGUAGGAAUAUUUAGCUCACUAGUGACGUCUGCAUUUCUUGGAAUAUAUACAUGAAAUAAUUGAAUUUAUCUUUGUUUGAAUUUUUGCUCCCUGUUUUAAUGGUAAGUAAUCUUCUUUCUCACUGUUUCUUUUGCAGUGUUGCUAGUUAUUUGUAACACUAAUAACCCAAGUAGAGGGGGUUUUGGACGUGGUUGCUAGCAGAAUGAUAGAGGUGCAGGCAUCCUUGGUUGUCUGGUAUCCUCUAUGGCAAGGUUUUAGGUACGGCUCCAAAUUUGCUAACAGACAUUGUGAUAAACGUUUUGUUUUUGAGCUAAAGCUUUUAAAAAGUUAAAAUUAUCUAGAAAAUGUAUUGCUUUUCUGGAUGUGAGUAAAUUAUUUUUCCUUUUUUUUUAAUGAUUCUUAAAUAUUUCAGAGUUGAUAUACUGAAGUAAUGUGAAGUAUUAUCCCAAGUCUUUCUGUACUUGUUUUUGUGUCUUUAUUGCUAAAUGUGCUAAUUAAAUUUAACAGCCAUGUGAACUUGCUUGCCAUAGCUGUGUGGAACGUGGAGAGGUCUACUUUGAUGAUCGCAGCUUGGUAAUCUUUCUAGAGUUUUAUAUAGUUGUUUAUUCAGUAGGUUUGCUUAUAUAGGAUUUCUUUUGUCCUCCUCAUCAUUAGCUCAUUUUGCAUAUAUUUCUUUUAUUCACAUUAUUAGAGGCAUUUUAAGCGUCUUAUUACUGAAGAUAUUGAAGCUGAUCUCAAUCAAGGUUUUGAUACUUUCGUCGAGAAAAAAAAAAGGUAUGCUUUAUUUAUUGAAAAUUUGAAAUGUAAUAAUGUUGAGAUUGUACUGUGUUGCGGUGUAUACGUUAUAUUUAUGCAUAUGUUUGAGAUUUGUACAUGAGGUCUAAUAAAUGCAGCCAACUGUAUGAUUUUAUUUUUUUUUGAACUAGAAUUAGGCUCUAGGGGUUUUGGUAACCUCCUAGAUUGCAUAAGAAACAAAAAUAUCCCUCUUCAAAACAUUCAUUUUAUGGUAUGAAAAAUGUUAUUAAUUUAGCUUCGAAUUCAUAAUUCAUUACUUCAAUUAAGGAUAUAAUCUAACAAUAUUCCCCACUCCUUUGCAGACUUUUUGUAACAAUCUUAAUAAGGUAAUUACUAAUGUCCUCUCCUCUGUUGUUAUUGCAUGACCGUAAAUGAUAAAAGGGUAGAAAAUUUAUAUUCAUCAGUCUUUUAACUGGUAUAUGAGCAUUCUCAGUGCCACUGGUCUUUUUCAUCUCAUGAGUGAGUGCAUUAAUGUGAGUUUUCAUAUAUGAAUAUGGAUGAUAAACUACUUUUUAUGGUAUUUCAUUGGAUGCUUUCUUGUUUUCAUACAGAUAUUGACUACAGCUUAUAUUAGAAAUAAGCCUUGGGAAAUGGGAGUUCACAAAUGGAAUGUUGUCUAUCUCGAUGUGCAUAAACCGCCUAAGAGGCCAUGGAGUGAGUUGGAUUGUCGAAGGUAUUACACUUUUUGUAACAUCCCCCUUCUUUUUUCUUUUUUUUUUUCAUUUUCCUUUGGGUGGGAAACAUUUGAUUGCUUAAAUUCUUAACCAUAUCAAAGGCUUUGAGGUGGUGUACAGCCAAGCUUAUGUCUUGUUCUUUUGGGCCAAAUGAAAAUGAACAUAAUCGAUGAUGAAUAAAAAUAAACUUGACUUAAUUUUAAUUUUUUAGGUCGAGAUGUUUAUAUAAAUUUAUUAGGAUUUGGUAAAUUUUUAUUUAAUAUAUUAUUUUUAUCAAAUUUAAGUAGGGUGCUUUUAGUCAUAACACUUUCGCUUUCAAUGUAUCUUAUCUUUGAACGCCUCUCUUCAUACAAAAAUCCUGAGGUGAGCUUUAUUUUGUUAGAGAUUUUAGGCCCUUUGUUUUUUUUUUUUUUUUCUUGACUUCUCUUUGUGUUUUUGGACUGGCAAGAGCAAAAGUUUUUGAUCGAAGUUAUUCUUAUAAUUCUUUGCUAUUUUGUAUAAUCGGUGAGUUUUUUUUUUUUAAUUAGAUUUUGACUUAUUUUCCUAAUUGAGUGAAGUUUUGAAUCCUAAAGCUAUAUGUUUUAUGCAAUUAAGAUCAUGCAAAUCCUAGAAUUUUGCAUUAAUUUUUAAGUUGUUUGAUGAAAAUAAGUGUUUAUUUUGUUCCUUACAUCAUUAACAUGUAUCUUAAGGGCAGAUAAAUUAAAAAAUGCUCGAAAUUGUUAUCUAUUAUUGCUCAGAUUUAUGGAUUGUUUGGUGAAAGUUGGUUUUCUGGUAUUAUGAAAUGUACAUCAAUGUUAAAUCACUAGCGUAAAAAUGCUAGAAAAUUUUUGCUUCUGAAUAUGCUUGCAGUGGGAAAUUUCUGUAGUUAGACUCCUGAAAUUGAAAUAUCAUGCUUGACUUUUUGAAAAUUUGAAGUAAAAUUUUACUGUUGGAGAUUGCUGAAUAUACCUUAAGAAAAUUUAUGUAAAAACAUUGGCAUGAAUCUUGAAAUGUGCCAUCUAAUGUUGCUUACAUGCUUGCAUUGAAAGGUGUAGUUAGUUGAUUUCUUUACUUAAUUUAAGUAGCGUGUUGGUAUGAAAUUUGAACUAUAUUCGUCUUAGGUUAAAAUUGUAAGUUUAUUGUGCUUUAAGUCUGUGAAACUUUAAGAAUACUUCAACAUGAUUUUUUUUUUUGCAUCAUGCAUCUGCUAUAAUGAUAUGUUAUUUUCUGUCUUGCUAACCCGAAUUAUUUUUAACAGUUUGUAUCGUUGGCGGAUCCAUCAAUUAGUGUUGAUUGUUUGGUUCAAAAGUUUGAUAGUCUAAGAGUUUUUAAAUUAUUUCUUAUGUCCUUGUCUAUUAUAAAUUAGUAAGACAUUUUAAUCCUCACUCAUUAUAGGCUACAAAUGAAAAAAGAUUAAAUUGGAGUUAGAGUUUUUCAUUAGCCCAUACAGAAACAUGAAAUCUCAUGAAGGCGUAGGUACUUUACUAUUUCUUAAGGGAUAAAACUCAGAUAUAGAGCUCAUGUUAUGUAUGUGUAAAUAAAUGAUAAAUAUAUAACAUAAAUAAAUAAAUAAAAUACAAACAAGAAAAAGAAAAAAAUCUUAAACUUAUUUGGUUAGCUAGGCUUAGAUAAUAAAAAAUUAUUUACUAACCUGAGUCUGAAUUUCUCCAGUGGAAUCAUCAAACUAUCAUAAUAUAUAGAUCCAUAAACCUAUUACUGCACAUGGAUUUUAGGAAUCAUAACAAUCCUUUUUAUUUAAGUGCAAUUGGUCACCCAACUAAAUCUGUUUCAUUUAAAAACUGGUCUCAAGAUUGACUUAGGUAUAUUUAAAUAAUACAUUUUGAUCCAUAAAAUUAGAUUUUAGAUUCAGAAGUGCUAUACACGUGAAAAAUGUUAUAACACCCUUAUAGCGCUCAUCCAAGAGAUAGUACCAGAAGGCUCAGCUCGUAAUAAUUUGUCAAACUCUUCCUCAAUAGUCUAUUAUCUUUCAAGGGCAAAAGUUUUUUUUUUUUGUUGAACUGGUUUAAUCUCAAGAUUGGUAUGUAGUCUAUGGACCAUUACUUCGAUAACAAUCCCAGGCAUAUCAAAUGAUGUCCAAGCAACUAGGUCGGCCUUAUUUUUUAUAAGUUGAAUCAGUUGGUCUAUAUACUAGAGCUUGGCUCUAAUCUGUAUGUAUUUUUUAAGAAUGUUGUUCCAAAACAAAAUUAUCAUAAGGUCUUCAGUUGAGUCGAGUCGAUUUACGUCCAAGUCUAGGUUUUGAUCAAUUAUCUCUUUUUGUUCCAUUAAGUCAGGAUCAUUUCUUAUGAAAAUAGAUCCUGACAUGAUGAUUAGUUUAUUAAACAACUUAUUAAAUGUAUUAGUAGAAGUGAAGUAUAUUAUUCAUUUAAUACUAUAUUUUGACCGAUGUGUUAGCUCGAUCUAAGUAACAUUAAAAUUUUCACAUCCACUUAUGAGCUCAGUCAUUUUUACUGUUACCUCAAAAUUAAAAAAAAUAAAACAAAAUUAAACUUUUGCAGAGCGAAGAAGCUCAAAGCGGCUUAAGAGUACACUUUUCCCAUAUCAAAUCUUACAUUUUAUGUUUUUAUCAAUGAUUUUCUGCUCUUUGUCAAUUCUCUAUAUUGAUUUCUCUUUGUUUUUUACCUUGAUAUCGAUCGAGCUACCUGUCUACUUCCCAAUCUUACCCUUUAUCAUUGUGACAUAACAUUACCAUGCUAUGAAUUAGUCUCAUCGAACGUCUCUAACCACUGUUGGUGUUAAGAAUUCCACUUUCAAAUAGGGAAUUAAGCCUAUGAGCUGCAUAACAGAUUGGCUAAGUCAAUCUAAUAUCAUGUUGUAAGCAGAUGGGACAUUUACUACCAUGAGCUCUACGAUCGAGGAAAUCAUUUUUGACUUUGUCUCUAAGGAGAUCAAGAGCUUGAUAGUUCUUCAUACGGACACUUGUUCAUUUUCAAACCCCACUAAUGUUUUGGUGAUCAUCUUUAAUUGAUCUUCGUCGAUCCUUAUUUUCUUCAAACAAUCAUAGUACAUAAUGUCAAUUGAACUCCCAUUGUCAAAUAGAAUUCUUUUGACCACAUAGUUGUAUACCAAGGCUAUGAUCACUAUGACAAUAUCAUAUGGGUGUUAAAUCUCUUCAAAAUCUUUUGAGCUGAAUAAGAUUGACUCAUCUUUUCAUUUUUUUUCUUUCUUAGCCAAUGUGUCUACUACAAUUAGCAUGCUUGGGUUAAACUUCCUUUUCGUCAAGAUAGAGCUACCUCCUACGAUCACGUUAAUCACCCUGACAAUUGACCUAUUAUUAUCAACUCGAACCUCUUCCUAAUUUAGCUCUUCUCUUAGGACAUCAUUUCUUCCCUGAUAUGAUCUUCCCUAUUUGUCCUAGGAUAGUUCUUUGUGGUCAUUUUUGUAGUCUCUUCUAAACUAGUUAUGUAUUUUUUAUCCCAUACAUAUUUUCAAUUGAUCUCGCCUUAUCAAAGCUUUAAUCUCUUUUUUUAGGUCAACACAAUUUUUGAUAUUAUGGUCGAUAUCCUAGUGAAAGGCAUAUCUUUUUGUUAAAUCCUAGCUUGUGUUUUAUCUCAAUGGUUUAGGCCAUCUAAGGUCAGAAUUUCUUUUGAUUUGCAUCAAAAUCCUCUUAUAGCAGGUAUUCAAUGCAAUGUAGCUUUUUUCUCUACUAAUGCUUCUAACCUUAUGUUGUCUUUCAAUUGGAAGAAGAUUAUAGAAUUUCUUGUUUUUUUUACAAUCGAGAAAUGAAGAUAAGCCUUUCUGAACUCAGCCACCGAAGAAUGGAGAUAGGCCUCUCUCACCUCAGUUUAAUUUCAUUAUAGCUUCAAUGUUGAUGUAUUUCUCUACUAUUAGUAGGACGUGGAUCAAAGUUUUGGAUAGAUCUAACGAUAAUGUCAACUUUAAGUGGUACUCUUUAUUGUUGAGUCAACUAGUCAGUACAACAACAACGAUCGUCUGUUCUAGCUCUUUAACCUGCAGAGCUUCUGUAUUAAAACGUAUGACAUAGCUUUUUAAGGUUUCAUUUUGCCCUUGGUAAAUCGACAUCAAGCUCAAUGUCAUUUUUUUAGCUCUCCGACUACUUAUAAAUCUGGACAGGAAUGAAUGAUUGAGCUUUUUAAAUGUAGUGAUCAACUUUGGUUGCAGAUUGCUAUACCAAGAUUAAGCUCGGUCUUUCAACGAAGUAGCUAGACCUUUGCACAUCAGAGCCUCAUCUGCCUCUUGUAUCAUCAUAUUGGUUUUAUAAAGUUUUAAAUGAUCAAAUGGGUCAAAAGUACUGUCAUAUAUCUCCAAAGUUGGCAUUUUAAAUCCCUUGGGAGGCAUGGUUUUGUCAAUCUCAUCAGUAAAGGGCGAAGUCUCCAGAAACUUGAGCUUAUCCUCAAAUAUUACUAUUUUAGUUUUUAGUUCUUUGUCCAUGGCUUGCAUCCGAGCUUUCAAAUCUCUGUUCAGUUGAAGUUUAUGGUCUGUUUGUUUAAACUUUUAGGUUAUGGUAUGUGUAAAAUUAUAGCUAUGGUGGUGAUGAGUUAGAUUGGUGUGUUCUAUUUAUCUAGAGGCCAAAAAGGCUUUCACCGUUUUUUAGCUUAGUUGUCCGAUAACAGCUUCUCAGUCCAGUGUGAUUAAGUCUAGCACUUGUAGUGGGGUUAUAGUUUGUAGCAUCUGUUUGAGGGCUUGUAUUUGCUUGGUCAGGGAUUGAAAUUACUCCAUGAUUGGCCUUGCUUGAGUUGGGCGAACAGAAUGCUGACUUUGGUGAGUUUUUGUUCUAGCUGAAGCGGUUGCCUAUCAUUCCUCUUAGGUUUUUUUUUCAUAGUAACAUUAUUUUAUGCUCGGCUAAUAUGAAAAUGUUGCCCUUACCGGCACACCAAAUGUUGGUGCCGACCUCCAACCUGAAGAUAUUUUUGUAAAUGCAAAAAAGAAAUAUAGUUAAAAGGCAAAAAUAGAGGGUAUUCUUUGCAUUUGCACUCCGACGUGCAAGUUAAUAAGGAUCAGAUCAAAAAAAAAGUGAAAAAAUAAGAAAAAGAGAAAGAAAUGAAUUGAAUGAACCUCACUUCAUAAUACUUGAGUUUUCAUAUUUAUAAGUAAGUUAUACGGAUAAAAAAAAGAACAAUUCAGAUAGAGUUGAAUUGCGGUAACACUAACCAUUUCAAAUCAAUUUGAAAUGUUAGGUCAGCACAAAUGAUUAAAAUAUCUCUUAUUAUACGUUAAAAUAAAAAAAAAAAAACUGUCUUUUUUAUUAUUAUAUGCCCCUAAAAAUAAAAAAUGAUCAAAGCUUGGUACAACGAUUAUAUCCUGUUUUACCAGGGAAAUAAGUAGGUCCUGUUGGACCUUUUUUUCAAGAAUCUGACAACGGUAAGGAAGAUGCUUAUAUGUGUAUAUAUAUAUAUAUAUAUAUAUAUAUAUAUAUAUAUAUAUAUAUAUCCCGGAAUGGCUCAGCAUGCAAGAAGGAACCUGCUUCAGUUGUGUUAAUUUCCUCUGAAGUGACUACUUAUUUUCCAAGGAAGAAAUGGAGGAAAUUCGUCUUGGGCUAGAUUUUGGCAACGUCAGCUUUAUAUGGGUUGUGAGAUUUCAAGGUGGAGAUAAUGUUGGUAUCCAUGAAGUCCAUUGGAAUACUUUUCAAAGAGAUUUGAGAGAGGCUUGAUGGUGCGAACUUCAAAGCGAAAAUCCACGCAAGACCGGUGAAGUAAAUUUGAUUUGUUAGACAAAUCCAAUCACAAAAAAUUAAAUUAGGUGAUGCAAUUAUGAGAAGAAUCUAAGGAUGCUCUUAAGCAAAAUUUAAUGCAAUCAAAGCACCAAAAAAGAGUCAACUUUAGUCCCGUACCAUAUAUACAAGAACAUGACUUUAACAUACUCAAAAUGGUGGAUCAUGCACAUUUUUCUGCAUCUCUCAGCAAUCUCUCCUUGAUUACUGAUUUCGCUUUCUUUUUCGUUUCUCUGUUUAUUUAUUUAUUUCUCUAAAAUUUUCGCUUUCAAUUCCUUAAUGGUAGUCGAUAGAUCUUUUGAAGUAUGACAAUAAGUUAAUUUGUUCUGAUAUGAAUUGGAGUGGUCCAAAUGAGCUUUGUCUGCAUGUUUUUUUCAUGGGCUAGUUUUCAUCUCGAUUGUAAAUAAAAUUGCAGCCCCCGCUAACAAAACUAUGGAAAUUGGUUUUUUUUUUUUUAAUGUUCCUCUACAAAGAAAAACCCAGAUCAAAGCAGCAGCUUCAAUUUUCGAUCUGUACCAUAUACAACCAUCCAAAAAGAAGGAAAGAGAUAGAGGAACAGAAAUUAUUCUUACUGUUGAAUGUAUAUACAUCCCCACUGGGAGCUUGGUUUUUUAUCUAAAACGAAAAACCCAAGCCCCAAGAGCUAACAACAAAAAGUUUUUUUUUCUGUUCCUUUUCUUUUUUUACAAAAGUAAACGAUUUGGUAUAGUAGGGGAGUUCAUAAACCAAAGAUGCUGAUGCUGCAAUUUGGAAAUUGUUGCUAUGAUUAUAUAUUGAUAGAGUCUUGCUGAAGAAAGUGGCAAGAAAAUAUAGUUAGAUGGAGCAGCCUGAUCUUGAAGAUCCGAACAUUUGAUCAAGAAGGAUAACAAAAGCCAUGGCAAAGUCCGCCCUGAUAUUGUCAGGCUGAACAACAAGACGGAAGACGUCGAUUCCAAAGGCAACUCCACCAACAGCCUCUUUCCGCUUGAUCUCAGCUACUAACCUCCUCUUGACAUCGUACACGGCACAGCAUCGUUGGGAAUAUGACCCCUCAAUCUCGUACAUGAUGUUGUUAUUUCGAUUGUUUGUGUUCCCUGCGAAAACGUGAGCCAAGCACUUGUUGUUUAGGAUGUUCAGUGAUUUCCUGACAGAAAGUGUGGGAUUCACCAAGGUUUCUCCCUCGUAAACCAGCCAGCUAUCUCCGAGGCUCAUUUUCUGACGAAAGAAACGUUGAAACAUCAUCAUCAUCGAUUUUGCAAUUAAUUAUUUUUGAAAGUAUGUCUCACGUAGGAAAAGGUACGAACCUUGCGGCGGAUGGUGAGGAGAGGCUUGCCAGUGGCAUCCAUGAGAAGGAUCUCGCCCUUGUUGCCUUCCAUGUAAUUAUCCACCCUGAACACCAAAUCACCAUUACCAUCAAACACCGUGAAGCCGUUACAGUUGAACAACAACGACUUUUUCCAGACAGUUAGAAUAGCCUCCCAUGUGUCAGCUGCUACUAACAGCUUAGACGGCCUCUCGGAGAUGGCAUCGCUGCCAGUAAAACUAGCGUUUGGAUAAACCUUUGUCAUCGGCGUAAAAGGUUCCAGCCUUUUCAACUCUAAUUGGAAAGAGGAUUGCAAUUUACAAGUCAACCAAUAGUACAACUCAACUCAUUAUGAUCAAACUGUAGAGUCUGAAAGAUGACAGAAAGGAGAAGAGAAUAAAAAUCCAAAGCUAACCUUUCCAGCUCUGGUUGGGUGCCCGAGUUAGGCAGAGAGUAGAGAUCAGAGCAUAACAUAUAUAAGGGGAAAGAAAUGGGGUUUGAGAGACGAAAAGAGGCGCAGCAAUUGGGUAAAAAAGUCUAACGAUCUUUUGAUUGGAAGAAAGUGAAAGGGAAAGGGAUGGCUUGUAAUUUGGAUGCUCAGCAUUGGCCAUUGAGACAUCGAUGCAUAUGUUAAAGACCAAAAGCUUGUUUUAGAAAAAAAUAUAUAUUAGGCCGGCGCCUGCCCAAUCUUUACUUCAAAGGCUGCAAAUGUUAAUUAAUUUGUUUUUGUAGUCUUAAAAUAACUAAAUAAAGCUAUAUUUUGUGGCUGAUAACUAGUUUGCGAUUGGUGCGGAGAGUGGACACUCAGCAGUCAGCCCAAUACUCUUCCUUAGAUAUUUUUCUGACGAUGUUACCGUUCACCGUCUCUUCAUGUUUUUAAUAAGUAGAACACUGGUAUUUAUUAUUUAGUAACCUUGACAUAAGUAUUUAGGGUAGGACAAAAGGCUUGACCCCUUUAUCUCCCAUUAUUAUUUCACAUAGAGCCGCAAACGUAACGAUAAAUAUGAUAAUUUAUGUUAUCAAAUCAUAUAAAAUAUUAUAUUUAUAUCAUAUUUUUAUAAAAAUUAUAUAUCAUAAUUUAUAUUAAUAUAAAAAUAUAAAAUAUAAUUUUUUUAUUAAAUUCAUCUAUGGGUUUUUUAAAAUUUUAAAUUAUAUUAUUUUUUAUUUUUCAUUUAUAUCAUUUUUAUAUCUUAUCAUCAUAUCAUAUUCAAAAUUUUCAUAUUUAUGAAAUAAGUUAGACGGUUCAUAAUAUAAUAUAAUUUGAUAUAAUAUAAAUUAUAUUUGAUUUAAUUUAUUGUUAUGUAAUCGAAUUAAAUCAAACAUGAUAUAUAUAUACAUAUAUACACACAUGUCGUAUUAAAUUAAAAAAUUUUAAGCUUAUGAAUUGAAAUGUAUGAUAUACAGACUAAUCGUGUUAUGUUGGCUUAUUAUUAUUAUAAAUGAACUUCUAACCUUUUAAGUGUAUUUAUAUUUUUAUUAUAUUACAAUGAAAUUAUAUUUUCUUUUAAUAUUUUGUUAGUAAUUUAUGUUUAAUUUAACUAGUGAUUAGUAAAAAAAAUGACAAAAAUAAAUUAAGACUUCAAGUAAGUACAAAUUCAAUUAAUAAAGUAAAUUAUUAUAGGAUGAAAGGUAUAAAAUAAUUAUACAAAAUAACAUAUUAUAUAAAUAAAUUAUCAUAUGAGAAUAAAAAAUAAAAUAAUAAUCUUGUAUCUUAUAAUAUUUUUUUAUAUGUAUGUGUUUUUUGAAAUAUUAGGUUUGUAAUUUUAAUAUUUUUAUUUAGUGGAUUCUAUUAAUCCUAUUUUUGGAUGUAUAUAUUUUGUUGAAUCAUAUAAAUAAUUUGUCAUUUUUAUUUCAUUUUAUUUUUCUUUAUUUUUGCAUAUUAUUUUCAAUAAUAGAUUAAUUUUUUAAAAAUAAUUAAAUUUAAAAAUUAUUAAUGAAUUAUACUCGACCUAUUUCGAUAAGAAAAAUAAUAUUAUAUUUGAUACAAUACAAUCUAAAAAAAUUACGAGUUAUGUGCCGUAUUAAGUCUUAGUCUUAGCCAUCAUAACCAUAUUAACAUGACACAUUAAAAGAUAAUGUUUGACUGGCACUAUUUAUUAACAUAUAAGUUAAUAUUUAAAUAAAUUAUACCGGCCUAACACGACCAUUUGAUACCUCUAAUUUUAUGCAAGGUUUCAGCCGCCUUUUCUAUAAAAUCAUUCAGAUUGGGAUAGGGCGGUUAUUAAGAGUUUUAGUUGCCAUUGACAUUAGUAUUAAUUAUUUAAUUGCACAAAUUAAAAUAAUGUCAUUUUUUAUUUUAUUAAAAAAAUAAAUAAGAAAUGAGAAAAAUGUGGAUAAGUAUAUAUAUAUUUAUAAAAUUAUUUAUCAUUUGUUAGAUUUAUUUUUUAUUUUAACUUAUAAAGUAUAUAAUGAUAAAAUAAUAUUAAUUUUCAUUUUUUAAUUAGUUUAAAUAUAAAAUAUUCUUGAAUUAAAAUUAAAUUAUCAUUUAAAUUUUUAUAUUUUUAUUACAAUUAGUUAAACUUUUGAACAUUUAUUUUUAUUUAAUUGAAUUUUGAAUUAAAUCAAAAUUAACCACGUAGGUAACAUGAUUAUGAUGAUUAUUAAUUCAUUUCCGUCCAAUUAAAAACUCAAUUGAGUAAAAAUAAAAUUUUGAAAAGUUAAUUAAUUAUAAUAAAAAUAUAUGACUUGGAUAGUAAUUUGAAAAGUUUUUAUAGAAAAGAUAGUAAUUUAAAUUUUUUAUAUUUAAACCUUUAUCUUUUGAUCAAGCAAUUAAUGCAAAGUAAAAUUACUUUUUUCUUUUAUUUUUCAUUUUUUUACCAAGCAUAUUAGGAAAAAAUAUAUAUUUUUCAUCAUUUUACUUUUCAUUUUUCUAUUUUUUUUCAUUUUUAUCCACCUUAUCAAACAAAAAGCUCAAGACUAUAUAUAUAUAUAUAUAUAUAUAUAUAUAUAUGUAAAAGAUAGAAAAUGGUUUGUAGAAAUUUAACUGCUUGACAGGAAAAAAAGAGAUUGAUUAAUUGAUAAUCAAGUUAACUUAGCUGACCUAACAAGAAACGUAAUCACCAGAAAAAAAAAAAAAAAAAAAGAAGAGGUUUUGCAUGACUAAUUACCUAAACAACUCGUUGCAUAGUGUUUAGUUACAAGUUGUAAUAUAUCAGCUAUUUUAGUUUAAUGCCAUUAAACUAGCUUUGUUGUCCCUGCCAUGAAAAAUAUUUUCAGAAUUGGGAAAACAAGCACUUUUAAUGUGCCUUUUUUAAGCAAAAUAGCCAAAUUUUCAUUCUCUUGGCUUGCCCGGUUAAUGACCCUGCCACCUCAUGGCCGGUCUUUGAUUCAAGUCUACGCAUUCGAGAUAGGUAAAAUGAUGAGGAGGGUUACUUCCAUUUUAAUUGUAGACCUACAUAAUACCAUCUAUCAACUGUAUGAAUAAACUUAAAUUAAGUUUCGUAUUCAAUUUUAUACUAACUUUACACAGACAAACUAAUAUUUACCGGUCAUAAAGGAAUUGAACAGCAAAACAAGCCAGACAUAGAUUAGGAACUGGAAGAAUCAAAAUAUGGAUUCAGUUGCAAGUUGUAAAUGGGAUAAAAUUGGAACUGAAUUUUUUUCAAAUUAUUGACCAAGUUUUUAUAGUGGCAGAUCACCUUUUUUCAUUUUAAGUUAGAUAGGUGGCUUGCUGACAAACAUAAGGAAUAAUUCACUAGGCAAUGAUGGCUAAGCAAGCACAUCUACACUUGUAGCAGUAGUGGAAGAAAGUUGACCUGUUUGGUGACAAGCCUUCUCAGUGACUACAUUCCUAAAUCAGAGCACUCCCCAUUGAAGAACCAGUGAAUAACAUGAACAGAAACAAUAAAUGUUCCAAACAUCAGAAAACUGGGUGUCAUUACAGCACACAAAGCGCAUUAUGUUGUUGUAGUCAGCACAAUUUAGCCAAGGUUUUCAAUGUUUUUGCUCAGCUCAUCCAGCUUCUUCAUCCUUAAUAUCUCACUUUCACUCACCAGCUGACCACCAUUUGACAGAAAGGAAAAAGAAACUUAGAAAUUAUCAUAACAAGGUUUGCACAUAGUAAAUAAAUGCUCCUAUUGAAUCGAUAACAAGAACACAUAUUCACCUCCAUUAAUUUGCUAACUAGUUGUGCUUUCUCCUUAUUCUUGCCAUUGAAGGCGUCAAGGGCUUCUUUGUAUUCUCUUUCCUGUGAUUAUCAAAACUCUUGAGGGGCUAGGAACAAACUAUUACUACUUGAAUAUAUAUUGAACUUUUAUGCUGCCAUGAUAUAAUGACAACAAAAAUUUUACUAGAAAAUGUGAAAUUUCGGCUAAAAGGCAUUUACUUGUCCCAUUUGGUUUGAACCAGAUUUAGCUUAGUUAGUUCAUUAAGUCACUUUUAAGAGAUGACAUCUAAUAGGUUUAAAAUUCAAAUCCCAAUACUUACAAUCAUUUCUUCUAUUCCCAGAUCCAUUGUAAAUCAUUUCUUCUAUUCCCAGAUCCAUUGUAAUAAUCAAUAAUGAAAAUAAUAUUUGCACCUUCUUCUGGCAGCUCUGUCCCAGUGGUUUCAGCUCUCGGUUAACGGUGUCUAUCUUCUUGCGCAGAAUUGCAACUUCCUUCUUCAUUGGAUCUAUGAGGGCAUCAAGCUCCUGGAAGAUUUUAUCAAUUCAAAGAAGCAGACAUUUGAAUCAUUACAGUUAAACAUCAUAUUCGUUUUCAAUUCAAAGUACCCUUUAAAAGGAAGAAUUUUAUUUAUAGAUAUUAUGAUUCUACUUAGAAUCUCGAAACCGAGAAAUAAUGAUCCAAAACAACCAUUUGAACCCAACUUAGCUACACUGCAUCACUCUUUUACUCAUAUUAAACAAGGUAGCAGAAUAUCUGUUUAUUGAUUUUUUCUUGAGCUGAAUCGAGAUGUUGUUUCCUUUCAGACUUCUCAAUGUUCUAAAACAAAAGUCAUGUUGCAUUAAUAUCAUAUAGAUUCACGUUUUUCAUAAAAAAAAAAUGUCCAUGUUUUAGGCCAGUCCAGAGUUAAUAUAUACUACUUGAUGCUACAUGUGAAUUCCCUCAUUCUAGUUUCUAAACUGUGAUCCAAUAAAUUUGAUUCGGAAACUUACUUCUCGAAUGUCAGCCAAGCGCCUAGUUGCUUGUUCGACGCGUCCCAUAUAAGCCUGAACCUUGUCCCUCACCUCCAUCUUCUUUCUCUCAAUCUCUUCUUCUUUAGCUCGAAACAAUGCCAAUGCAGAUUUCGCCAUUUCCUCUUCCUUGUCAUCUUUUAUUGGACUCCCAUUGCAACUGAUAAUCCCCGAAUUCUUUACUCGCUGCAUCUGUGAUUGUUGUUGCUCCCAUAUCUGCUUUGGUGUUGCCAUUGAUGCCAUCUUUCACCCACCUUCUUUUCUUCAUACAAUUCUCUUUUACCCCCUCUCUUUUCUUUUGCUCUUUUUCUUAAGAAUGAUGGCUCUCUUUCCUCUGCUAUAGGUGGUUAUAUGCAAGGCUGGCCGGCUUUAAAGCUAUGAAACCAACCAGCUUCCUUUAACACGAAACAAAUAAUUUGUAAUCAUGAUGUUAGAGAGGAUUUUCACCUUUCUUAAACAAAGACUUAAAUCAAAUGCUCUUUCCAAUCUUUACUUUAACACCCACUUUAACAUCAGUACAAUUUUUGUAUUCAUAUUUUAGCAUAGAAGUAAGUUAUCAGUAAUUCCAUGUACAUUUCUUUCUUGUACACCUUUCCAAUUGUAUUGUUUUAAGCCUGGAAUGGAGGAGGACCCAAAUGGGCCUGCUUUGGUAAGCUAGCUUUGCUGGAGGGUCCAGUCAUAAAACGUGCCUGCUGAUGCGGUAAGAGCCUGGGUUCUUAAAUGCAGCCUAAAUUGGCCUAUUUACAAGUUCAGUUAACUACUGCUGUUCUUCUCACUUGUGUAGAAGAAAUACACAUUUUUUUAAUAAAAAAUACACAUAAGUAUAAAAAAUUUUAUAAAAUUUACCACCUCCUAGAGUAUAUGUGAAGAAAUAUAUCAUUAUUGGUAUACAAAUCAUUUUCCUACUUCCAAAAUAUAAAUAGUUUACAAUAAUGUUGCUGUCAUUUAAAUUGAUAUAUAUUGGUUGAAGGCUCCUAAAGAGUAUUGGUAGAUCUUCUUUUCCCUUGAAGAGGAGUGCUUAGAAAAGAAGGCUUCUUUCUGUGGAAUUGACAAGAAGUGGUCACCUACACAAGACAGGGGAGGAAAGCCUUAAGAGACAAGACAGAGUAGGAGGGACUGUAGCUGCCCUUAUUACAUAAUAUUAUUAGCAUUCAUAACUUUCCAGCUUGGACUUCUAAAAAGGAAUCUCUUAAUCUUCUGCUUUUAUCCCUUCUUAUUUCUCUUUAGGAUGAAAGUUUAAGUGGUUUUGGAGAUGUGAGUUUGAAUGUCGAAACAGUUAUGUGUCCGACACGAGAAUGUUCAAUUUCGUUUUAAGUUUUUUAGGAUCAUAUUUCCGUAUUAAUGUCCACUUUGACUUCAUAUGCUGAUUGUUUGGUGUAAAAUUUCCUGUCUGAUAUCUGAACUAUGAAGUUAGAACAGAAAUGCUUAGACUUUAUAUUGAACAUUCUACUGAUUUUUUCACCGAGGAUUUGAUUUGCCUAAUUUUGUCGAUAAUAAUCAACUUUAUAAACAUUUGAGCAUGUGCUGCUGCAUGCAUAAAUACGAUGGAUUCUUUUCUUCAUCUUACAGAAACCAAUAUGCUGUUAGCCCCCAAGGGAUUUUUGUAGUAUGGAUUCAAAAUUCAAAAUCCUUUCACCAAAUUCCUGCAAAUGUCAAAAAAAAUUUAUUAAAGGUUGGGGGUGUUGCAAACUGUCAGAAUCAUGUAUGCUCUACUGUGUGUUUCAAUUUUUUGUUAAUGGGGCAUCAUUCAUAUCUUUAACCUCUGCAAUCUCGACUCUUUAGCACAGCCUUGAUUUUUGGUAUAUUUAUUCUUUUAACAUGGUUGAGAAUGACUAGCUUUAAGUUGAGCAAAGACAGGCCAGCAAGGUCAACUAGUGUACUCAAUUUUAGGCCCUUCGGCCUUUGCUAGUUCAGCGUUUAGCUUUUAGGGUAUGCAUGAACUAUGAAGUUAGAACAGAAAUGCUUAGACUGUCCCUGGUUUCAGAGACUUAGGGCUGAGUGGCCUUUUUCAUUGCCUUGCAGUAUUUGAAGAAAGAAAUUAAAAAUUGCCUUAGAAAUUUAAAUUUUUUAUUUUGAUUUAUCUGCAAAAUUAAUAUAACUAAUUUCAUGGAUAAACAGAAUGGUGAACUUGCCACGUGUCACAUUCUACCUUCAUUGACACCCAGCCAUGGAACCUCUUCAGGACAACAAGAAGCAAAGAGACUUCACAAGCUUUAAGCUGACAACAAACAUGGGAGGGCUGAGUUCCAGUAGUAGAGAAACACAGAAAGUGCCAGUACACAAGGUUGAAUAUUAUCAGAAACCCUAAAAAAUUAGUUUUACAUGAGUUGCUCAUGUUUUUAUUCCUAGUAUCACUUCUCUUGGUAAUGAACUUCUAAGUUCAUUUUAUCAGGCAAUGUCGACAACAAAGAAUUUACUUUAAUAUUACAAGCCAUUCCUAUUGCAGUUGCACCAUGCUAGCUAGAUUCAAGUUCAUAAACUUGAAACUUUUAGUAUUCACUUUUAACUUGAAAUCUUAUUCAGAUUGCAUGCACCCAUGUAAUCAACACUCGCAUAGAACGGGAAUAAACAUAACAUAGUAACACAAUGAUGCUCAUACGAGAAGAAAGAAAGAAGUAUAACAAAGUAUUAACAUAAUAAGCGCAAUGAUGAACAACAUCCACAAUACACACACAUUCACUACUUUGCCAAAAAGAAAAGUCAGUCAAUCCCCACUAGCACAGCCCCUAAAUCCACAAUGCACACGCUCAAUUACUUUCUCUUCCCUUAAAUGCUGGGGAACUCGGCAAACACAAGCAGUGUGCUAAAAUUGUGAUCCAGUGGCUGUAUGCAACGAAGGCAACAGAGAUAUUCAUAUCCAGGCUGCAUUAACAAACGAAAUGGGGAAAAAAUUGAUGAAAAAUAUUUGUAGAGACUGCAUUCUUGUAACAUUUUUAUAUGAACCACCAAUCAGAAGGAAAAUUAAACCUUCAACAACCAGAAAAGCCAGCUCAUGCAUCUUCAAGAGUUAGUAAAAGAUUAACAUAAAAGAGUGAUGAAAGUAAAGACCUCAAUAAUGCAUUGACAUUCUAAAUUCAUUUUAAGAUUAUUGACUUUCACUUGGUGCUCUUAUAAUUUUAAAGCUAUGAAAGAGGAAGAUGAAGUAAGACCUCAGAAGUGUGGAGGAUUGGAGAGUGAUAGGAGUUUGGAAGAUGAUAGGGCUUUGGUUAUAAUGAUCUGCAAAGUUGGAGAUGUCCCGAAGACUUGGAGCUAACUUCAAAUUAUUCAACAAUACCUAAUUAUGGCCUAAUGCCCAAACUAUUAUGUAAGGCACAGUUACGUUAAACCUUUUUUCACUUAGCUAUUAAGUUGCAGUCCACAUAGCCUUGUUCCCAACAGCACUCAUACAGCUCUUUAGAUAUUUAAUUUCUUUUAUAGAAAAGAUAAAAAAUUGUAGUGGUUCCUUUGAUGUGCAAUUUUGAAUAUAGGCCACAAUGCUUCACAUUUCCUUUUGCCAUCAUGUGGAUCAUUUUCAGCUGCCAGGUGCCAAAUGAAUAUCAAAUCACCGCAAGUUCAUAAUGAGAAAGCUUAACAAGAGAAUACUAGAAAACUAAUUAAUUUUCUAUUAUGCAGCAUCAAAAUAAAUUAUCAUUUAUCAACCUUCUCUCAUUUUGGCAUCCGGCUCCUUAAGAGUAGGCUCAAUCAAUUCCCAUCCAUCUGGAUAUUUGAUUUGGUUUGUCCUUACCUUAGGCAUUUUUAAACUGCAGGUAAAAAACUCAAAUAUGUCAGAAUGUCAACAGCACAUUUAUCAAAUUUCUUCACCAGUGAUACUAACUCAAUAUAAAGUGUUCUAACAGUGACAUGCAGGUAUUCAUGAUCAACAUUCAAAAUGCAACUUCGACAUAUGAAUCUGUGAGGAUCUGCUUAUUCAAAAGCUUUCUGGCACACUAAAAGUUUGUUUAUAUUUCCAGUUGCACAAUCCAUUUUCAAUUUGAGGAAGAAAUGAACUCUUUAUGUUUUAUUUACCUAUUAGAACUUAUAAAAACUACCAUAGGGGAAAAAGCCGCGCUUAUGGUGCAUGAGAAGGUGAGACCUUUCUCUGUCAUAAUGCUUAUAGUACAAUUUAAAGACCCAAAAGUUUGUCAACUUAUCACCCACGGUGCAUAUACAAUGGGAGAGGCAAUAACACUGCAAGACUCCUAAUGACAAGCCUAUAUAUAUCAAUUCCUGAGUUAAAAGUUAUACAUUCCUACCUUUUCUUAAGAUGCCAUAGGUGUACACUCUCCAAAAUCUUUCAAAUGUCAGAGCAAGAAACUAAUCCUAAAUAUAAAAUGCCUUAAUAAGCAGCAAUAAAUCUUUUAAUAAUCUUUAUAAUUAUCCUACCUCAAGCACAUCUCAGACAAUUUACAAGGAGGAAUGCGGAAAUCAUGCAAGAAAACAGAAAACACAUGUAUCAAAUCAGUCAUGGAGCUUCACUACCAAAACCCCAAAGCUUGUAUCUUUUCUUCAAAUUGGUUUACACUCUCUCCAGCAUUUAGCUUUCUACUUCAACCUCUCAUUUCAGGUCAAUGGUGGUAAAAAAAGGAUUUAGUAUUGGGUUCUUAAUAGGGAUCAGUUGUAGUCUCUAACGUAACAAGCACUCCAAAAUGCUUGUAGAAAUGUAACUUAGAAAAAAGGGUUUAUAGGACAUAUCAGCUAAAAGCACGACACUUACAACAUUAUGUCAAUAAGGUUUUACAAUGGGAUUUGCCCUUGUUUUUACAAACCCAUAAUAAGCAAACUUUUAAAAGAAACGAAAAAAGGCAAAAUUUCGUUCUGGUUUUUCUAAUCUGAACGGGUUU
rnacentral:lncRNA from 1 species